rnacentral:lncRNA from 1 species
UCUACACCAGUAUUCUUUAUUUCAACUAAAGUUUGAUUUAUAUUAUCGAUUAAAUAAAAAAAUUAAAUAUGUUUUAUUAUUACAUAAAAUGACUUAAAAGGAAUACUUUGAAUUAACAUAAAUUAUAGAGAGUCUCUAGCUAGUAAGAUAACUAAAAGUUAAAAUAGCUAGUCACUUACUAGUCUGCUGGAGCUGGUAAAAUUGAUAAGAAACUAAACUCGCUCUCUAAAAUAGCUAAAGAGCCAAUAUAGAGAGUCUGCUAAAUAUGCUCGCUAGGUCUUCGAGCUCUGCCGUUGGCAUCAUUUGGUGUGCGUUUUAAACAAAGUUCUCUUGUUAUUGCUUGUAAACCCGAUAAAUUCGGUGCUACAAGAAACUUCUGUUCUUUCGAUCUCCUUGCUGAUCCGUCCCUUUUUUAUUUUGUUUUAGUUAAUGUGUUUUUUUAUGAGAAUUUUUUGUAUGGUUUAGAGAUUUGGGUCGUGAAUAUUUUCCAAUAGAUUUUAUAUAUAUUGUGUUAUGUUCGCUCAAUACCGGUUGAAUUAGACUGUAAGCUUUCAUCGACUGAUCUGGUGGUGACGUUUAUGUGGUUAUGAUUUUUGUUCUUGAUAAAUAAUAAUCCUUCCAUCACAAAACAAAGGUUGAUUUCUAGAUUUUUACCCAAUAAUCCCAACUUUACUAUUGAUUUUCACGGAAAUGAAUCCGUGCGAAAGUAGGAGAGAUGCCUCCUUCUGAUGUACAGUCUUUUGAUACAGAUUCUUCUGCUGGGGCUGGUCCGUUGGUGCAAGGAUAGGCCCCUGCAAAUAUUUAGUGUUUCGUUUGUCUUCUUUCUCUCACUUUUCCUAACCAUUGAGCAGUCAGUCUUCCACGUGCUCCUGGGGACUCCCUCCUCUCUCCCUCUAUCUCUCUCCCCAGUCCACACUCCUCCACAGUCCACCUUACUUCUCAAUCCCAUACAUCUUUCAUUAUUAUUAUUUCCCCCUCUGACCCUCCCUCUGCGCUUCCUUCUCCCCCACCCAUCUUCUAUCUCACAGAAAACCAAAACCCCCAUUAUUGUUCUUCUUGAUAAUAAUGCGAAAAGAUCGAUCACCACCAAGUACUGCUUGAUUAGGUGUUGCUGUAGUUGUGUUUGUUAAUGAUGGAAGGGAUCAAAGGCUUAGGAUUAGGAGGAGGGAAGGUUGCUAUUGGUGUUGGCAAUGGCGUUGGUCAUGAGCAGGUGAUUCAGGAUCAAGACAUGGGAGAUGGAAUGCAGUGCAGUGACCAUCCUUUCAGAAACAACCCAGGUGGGAUCUGCGCUUUCUGUCUCCAAGAGAAGCUCGGCAAGCUCGUCUCUUCUUCCUUCCCUCUCCCUGUUCGUAACUCCGCCUCUUCUUCUUCCUCCCCUUCUUUUAGAUCUGACAUCACCGGCGCUAGCAAUGCCGGCGGUGUCAGCGUUGCCGGUCCUUCCUCUACUUCUCUCUCGCUCUCGGUCCGUCCGAAAGCUAACGGUGAGUCAUUUAAUCAUGAUGAGUAUUACACCCGGCGCGCCAGGAUGUCGUUUCUUCUGGCCAGGAAGAAGAAGAAAGUGACUGCCAAUGGUGGUGAGAAUAGUCACAGCCGCGCCGCGGAUAUGGUUUUCAAGAGGAGCAAGUCGACCACGACGCCGAGGAGGAGCCAUUUCAUGGAUGCUGCUGAUGAAUUUAGCCCCAGAAAGAGAAAUGGGUUCUGGUCUUUUCUCUACCACCACCACAAAACUUCCAAGAAAAUCGACAACAAAAGCUUCCGAGACAACUCCAAGAUUUCCUCCUCCUCCUCGUUCACAUCUUCUGCAACUACAACAGCAGCUGGGAGGGACAAGUCUUUGGGGUCUUCUUUAAGGAAUAAAGCCGAAACAGCCGUGGGUGAGGUUGAAGACGACAGCAGCCCCAACAGCCAAGCCACAGCCUCAGCCUCUUCGUUCGAGCGGAAAGUCUCCAGAUCCAGAUCUGUAGGCUGCGGCAGCCGGAGCUUCUCCGGCGACUUCUUCGAGCGGAUCUCGACUGGUUUCGGCGACUGCACUCUCAGAAGGGUGGAGUCUCAAAGAGAAGGCAAGCCUAAACACUCUUCAGCAGUUCGAAACGGCGCCGAGCGUGUCAAAUGUGGUGGGCUUUUCAGUGGGUUCAUGAUGACUUCAUCUUCUUCAUCGUCUUCGUCUUCCUCCUAUUGGGUCUCGUCAGCCGAAGACAUGAACGGGAAAGCAAUAUCCGGUGGUCCCGGGGCGCUAGUCCAAGGCGGCAGAAGCAGGAGCAGCUGGGGUUGGGCCUUCGCUAGCCCCAUGAGAGCUUUCAGCAAACCCUCUUCGAAAGACGGGAAGAGGGACAUUAUUAGACAAGCCAAUACUUCAGAUAAGAACACCACCCCUAACUUGUCUGCAAUUCCUUCCUUGCUAUCUGUUAGAGGUUGAUGAUGAUCAAGAUGAAGAAGAAGAGAUUAUACACAUUAAAUGUCUGUUAAUUAAUUUAAUUACCCCUGUUUAUUACUACUAUGUUCAUUUAUCUUGGAUUUCUUGGUCUCCAUUAGGGAUAUUACCAUGUAACACAUUGCCAUGAAGAAUCUUCUUGUUAAAUUUCUGGGUUUUAGUAUCCAAAAAUGGAGAGUGAAGUGGGUAGAGUGCAGAAGAUGAUGAUGACCCAUCUUUUUUUUGUUGUAUUGGAACUUGUAUUAUUUAUUAAAUCUUUUGUAACUUGGACCGUGAUGGAGUGGAAAAUUUGUAUAAAGUAUUGCAUGCAUGUUUGUAGCAACUUAAAAUUUGUAAGGUUUCAGAUGUCACAUGCAUACACAUGCUUGUUUUGUUGGUAUUCGAUAAACUGAAGACUAAUAGAUGAAUACAAUAGAAGUGAGUCAAGACGCAUGUUAAGGGAAUCCCCAGCACAAAUUUGAUUCUGGGACUUGCACUGGAUUUUUAUCAUUUUUGACACAAAAGAAAUACCUCUAAAUGGUCCCCUUCCAUUCUCAUAUAAUAGGAUUCUGAGGAGGUAAAUUACCGGAAUUGGGAAUGGUUCACCGUUUGGGGAAUUUAGAUCAGUGUUAGGGUAUACACCAAGUUUUCUGAACAUUAGUUCUCUCUUUGGUAUCGUUAGAUCAUUGUAUAGUCAAGUUUUGAACCAAUUUGAUAGUCGUAAACCUUGAAACAGACUCGCGUCUAUUUAAUGUAGUGACACAAGUUGGGAUUUAUUGUUCAAAAGAAGAGUGACGGGAAAUUCUCGCAUGUUUUUGUAUUUAAUUAGGAACAAGAGAUCUGAAUGGCCACGGGGAUGGCUUCUUCAGUGUCGGAGGAAGCCCUUGUGCGACUGACUAACAGUGAGGAAGCAAUCUUUGAUUCCUUCUUUUAUCUUUGUGGUCGUCUUCUCUCCAAGAAGCCAGUGGCUCUUCCGUCGCUCUCGGCGACGAUCUCCAAUGUUUGGGGAUUAAAGGAAAUGGUUCUCCAGGGAUUUGAAAGUGAGGAAUCGGGUCCUCCCGGCGGUCCAUGGUUUAUAAUAACACCAUGUUACUGUUGGCGGCCUACAAGGAAAUUAAAUUGUCCUUUCUAGUUCUCGUCUGUUUGGGCAAUGCCCAUUAGACCAGUUAAGUGUUUUGAUUUUCAACAUUUUGUGGUAGCUCUGGGGCAGCUUAAUUGAUCGUCAUGUCAAUAAAAGUUCGCAAAAACUACAUCUACACAAACAAUAUGAAUUAUUUAAUUACAUCAAAGGGAAAUCGACGGGCUCAGUUGGUAAGGGCAGACUUUUGGUGGAGAACUCAUUCUAGUUUGAUCUCCGCUGCCAACAGACCUUGUCUAGUUCGUGAUCUGUAAAUUUUAUUGUCGAAAUUAAUCUAUAUUUCAGGGCUGGUGUGACAGGUACAUGUCCACCAUAAGUCCUUCAAGGUUAAAGUUGCAGAUUUUCCGUGAACGAUAAUAGUGUAGCCUAACCAAACUUUCGUCUGAACUUUUUGUAAAACAUAUAUAUAUAUAUAUAGCCCUUCUCGGCUGCGGACGUCCGCACCAAUGGUUUUGGUGCGGAUUUCUAUUUUUGCACCACUUUUCAAUCGAAUUUCCUCAUCUCCACCGUCUAGUAUUUAGAUAAUAUUGUGUAUAUCAUCUCUGCAAAAUUUCAGCCAAUUUGGUGAUCGUUAAGGCCUUCAAAAUUGUGUUUUUCUGGUAUAAACAUGAACCGGACAGAAUUCAGUUCGUCCAUUUGUUUUUCGAGUUUGAAGGCCUUAACGAUUACGAAAUUGGCUGAAAUUUUGCAGAGAUGAUCUACACAAUAUUAUCUAGAUACUAGACGGUGGAGAUGAGGAAAUUCGAUCGAAAAGUGGUGCAAAAAUAGAAAUCCGCACCAAAACUUUGGUGCAGAUGUCCGCAGCUGAGAAAAAUCGUGUGUAUAUAUAUAUACACACAGUGAGUAUCAGGUACGGACGUCCGCACGGCUCUUAAAGUGCGGACGUCCCUCCUUCGCCACCGUACGGCACUGGCGAGGGCGCGUCUCCACCCCAACGAACUCCAGCAGCUUCCCCGACCACUUUCCAUCCUCGGCGAGUUCGCCGAAUUCCAGUUUUCCGGCCAAAUUGACUUUGUUUGAAGUUUUGGGUGAUCUAGCUGGAAAACUGGAAUUCGGCGGACUCGCUGGGGAGGGAAAGUGGUCGGGGACGCUGCUAGAGUCUGUUAGGGUAGAGGCGCCGUACGAUGGCGAACGAAGGGACGUCCGCACUUUAAGGCCGGUGCGGACGUCCGUAUCUGAAACGGCCUGUAUAUAUAAAUAUAUAUAUAUACGAUUUUUCUCAGCUGCGGACGUCUGCACCAAAGUUUUGGUGCGGAUUUCCAUUUUUGCACCACUUUUCGAUUUUAUUUCCUCAUCUCCACUGUCCAGUAUCUAGAUAAUAUUGUGUAGAUCAUCUCUGCAAAAUUCANNNNNNNNNNNNNNNNNNNNAUUUCACCCAAUUUGGUAAUCGUUAAGGCCCUCAAACUCGGAAAACAAAUGGACAGACUGAAUUUUGUCCGGUUCAUAUUUAUACCAGAAAAACUCGAGUUUGAGGGCCUUAACGAUUACCAAAUUGGCUGAAAUUUUGUAGAGAUGAUCUACACAAUAUUAUCUAGAUACUAGACGGUGGAGAUGAGGAAAUUCGAUCGAAAAGUUGUGCAAAAAUGGAUAUCAGCACCAAAACCAUUGGUGCGGACGUCCGCAGCCGAGAAAGGCUGUAUAUACAGGGCCCUUCCAAUGAGGGAUCCAUUUUUUUGUUCAUUUCUAGGGAUAGGCCCACACCAUUAUAUUUGUUUUUUAAUGGGUUUGGAUGACUGAGAUUAAAACAAAACUUAACACUUAUGUCAAACCUACACCGUUCAAAAUCAUUAAAAAUAAAUCUCUUAUUUGGAUGACUUAACGAUCACCAAAUUUUUUGAAAAUUUGCAUAAGUGAUCUACUCAUAUAGCUUAACGAACUAAACAGUGGAGAUUUGAUUUUGUGAUCGAAAAGUUCGUUAAAUGAUCUAUCCCUAGAAAUGAACAAAAAAAGGGAUCCCUCGUUAGAAGAGCCUUGUAUAUACACACACACCCCGAAACUUCAUGAGAGUGAUGAGAGCAAGUGAGGAACAAGAGAUUUUUGGAUGAGUAUGAAUGUAUGAUGAGAAACAAAGCAAAGGACAAGACGAAAGCUGUUGAUGAGGAAUCCGACCAAAAGAAAAGCUGUUUAUGUAGGGACUCAGUUAUUGACUUAUAAGUCAGAACUCAAUUGAAGAUUACUUCGUGGAGCCAACCUCCCUUUGUACUUGGAUAUUUUGUUUGUCCAUGGCCUCAGAUCUUUCUCUCUACACUGUUCGCAAGCCAUAUCUGUGGCCAUGUCUAUGCAUAAAGCAUACCAGCUAUUUCUGCCUGCAAUGAACAUAAAUUUAUUGUUAUGAUGCUAGAGCAGUAGUGGUAGCUGGGAAGAAGAUCUAACAGUGAAGCCUUGUACAGUUGCCCAGUAGAUAUUGUGAGUUGUACUGUUGGAACGAGAGCCAGGAUUCAAGGCUACUCCAUCUUUACAUGAUCCGGGGCUCAAGCUAGCUCCCAGUUCCCCAUGGCCUUGUGCUUGUAAACUUGCUCUUUGGUUGACAGACAUUAAUGUUACCAGAAAAGCACAUCUGGAUUGUGGUCGAAGAAACGAAGAAUGACUUGUGAUAAACGUCAUUCCUGGGAGUAAUAACGUUUGGUUCGUGGAGUAAAAACGUUUUUCAUUUUAUGUUUUUAUGGAGCAUGAGAUUCAAAACUCGUACCUAAUGAUAAUGGAAGUAUGAAUCAAGAAACUAAUAGUAAACAGAUUGUGACAGAUCUAUAUUAAUGCUACUGUUCGACUCUUAGCCGAGUUGGGCCAGCACCUUGAGACCGCGCUCUAUUGCCUCUGAUUUAAUCAUGAAGAUGUUGACAUGUUUUCUCUUUGAGUGGCAUGCAUCUUUAAACUUGUCGAGCUAAUAUGAGUUAGGGCAGCGAAUAGGCCCCCAUAGACUGGAAAACUUUGGUGGUGCUUCGGCCACUACUGCUCUCCUUAACCGUUGGGUAGUCCGCGCGCAGGUCUGAGACUUUGAGGACGAAGUUAGGUACGUAUUGGUUUUGAGUAGCUUUAAUACCGGACCUAAGACACAGAUCGAUCCCUGAGAAGGAGGCAUGUAAAAUGUAAAGGUGUAAACGAGCCGAUCGGAUAUUCGCGAAUGAAAACCCGUAUCAAAAUUGGCUUGGAUAUUCUUUGAAGCUUGGUUUGGUUACUUUAUUCCAAAUUCUAGCUUGCUUGUCGAAGUAACAACCCGAUCAUGAACACAACAUAAAAGCAAUGUAUAUCCCAUCGUGAACAAACGAUCGAGUCAUGCUCAAGUCCAACUAUAUAUGCUAUAGUGAUAAAAAUACGAGUUGCACACAAGCCAACCAAGUUCAAAUGAACAAAAAUCGUACGAAGCUCAAUACUAACUUCAGCAUAAUGAGAAUAAUCUGCUUCCUUUAUAUAAUGUAGUAUGAACUUCACCUCCAACACUAAUCGACAAUAGAUGAAAUUGCUCAAAUCUUUUUGUAGACUCAUAGAAAGCAAAAUUAUACAAUUUUUCUUCACAUUCUCUACACGACUAAUAAUAUUUCUAGUUUUCUUUUCCAUAGAAAAUGUGUGUUUUUAAAGUGUUUCCCAUAUACUCAAUUCAUUUUAAUUAAACCAAGGACGAUCAUUAGCCAACAACACUAAACACAGUAAGACACAACAGUAAUCAUAUGUCUAUUCAAAACUGCAUUCUAAUUAAGAUUCAAACCAAGUCAUGACACAUAAGUAGUAAACUACUGCAACAGAUAUAUCGAAAAACCGCAAAACAAAAGAACCAAGCAAGAAACAAAACAUUAUAAAUCAUUUUACUGCUGCCUCACUUUCUGGUUCAAGAGCAUUUGCCGGAGCUCCACCGGGUCGAUCUCAUCCGCCCUAUUAGCCGGCCUGUAGUACCCGGUUCGAGGAUCCGGUGCCCAAGCAGACGAAGACUCUUCCUUCAUCCCAACCUUCUCUUCCAGCUUCCUCACCAUAGUGCUCCUGGAGCCUCCCAUUCCAAAGCCAGCUGCCACUGAGCCAUGUGAUGCCGCCGCGUAACCUCGUCUGCUCCGACAAUCACCAAUAUUAAAUUAAUCACCAACAGAACAGAAAUAAAAUAAUCGUUUAAAAAAAUGAAGCAGAUCAAAAUGAACAUUCUAUAAGGAAAGCUCACCGGUGAAUGGAAGCCGCAACGGGAAGGAGAAUUGCCUUUGAGAGAAAGGAAGCCAUUGGAGUAUCGAAGAUAGGUACUUAGGUAGAAGUCGGUGUUGGUGAUGAGUUUGAUGGACGUAGUGACGUACUAUGUAGCUAGCUACUGCAGAAGCUAUUCAAUUCUUGGGAGACUGAGAGGAAUUCUCAAGAAUGAAAACUAGUGCAGUAGCUUGCUGGAAUGGGGAAGUAGAUGAAGGCCGAGUGAGGGAGGUGCUGCCCUUCCGCUUCUUCGGCUGUAAGGAAAAAUUGUGUGUGGCGGUGGGAGGAGGAGGAGAUUUAGGGUUUCUGUUUCUUUUUAUAUGGCCAUGAAAAGUUCAAUGGAACCAUGGGAAAUCGACACGUACGUACGUGCAAAGCUGUUGCCGGGGUGAAAAUAAUUUGUUGUUUUGUUUUAAUUAUAUUUUAGAAUGACCAGUGAAAAUGAAAAUACUCGAAGGAUCCAAUCGUUUUGCCUCUUUUAUCAGUUGUACCCAAAAUUCAGAUUGAAGAUUAAUGUUUUGGCUUCAUCCAGUUAAAUAUGAGCACAAGCGGUAAAGAAAAGUGAAAAAUGAAGUAAUUAUAAAUUAGAUCAUAUAGUCAAUCUCUUCCAAAGAAAUAAUUCUAUUCAAAUAUUAAUUACAUACUAAUGAUACUAUGAACACAAAAUAGAGUUAGUGUAGAGAAGGAAACGUUACUCAUCUAACGUAGAAUGAAGUGAAAAUUAUGCCAAUUUAGUAUAGACUACUUCAUCGUUAACUUUGGCCUAACGGCAUAAGUAGUGAUAUGAAUUAAGUCACAAAAAAAUAGUUGUUGAUAUGGUUAAAAAAUUAUUAUGUGAUAAUUAUGUGAACCCCAAAAUCGAAUUUCAUGCACUCUUAUGGUAUUCCCUGAUUCCCUCAGAUCCCCCAUUCCCAACAGAAAGUAAAAAUUCGAGCGAUUUCCCUUAAUUUUUUGUGACCAAAGACAUUCAGAAAACACACUCGAAUCUUCCUGUUUACUAGCAGAAGUCGUCGAAGCAGAUACUGGUAUAAUGGGCUCGCUGAAUGGGCCACGGAGAGUUCCACCCCGGCCCAUGUAUGUUCAAAUUAUACUUUCGACCUGCCGAAUGUAGUAAUUCGAUCAUACUGCAUGCAGUCAAACAAUUACUAAUUACUCAUCCAUGACAAUGUAUUGCUAUUUUGCUUCAAUGCCUCAAUGGCUACUUUUUACUACUCUGCAUCUCCUCACAAAGACACAUUAUUGGAUUACAAGUUCAUACAUGGCCUUCAUUACUAACUGGGAGAAUUCGACUAUACUAGUUUAAGCAAGGAGAAAUGUCCAAUCUGAAUCCCAACUAUAUUGGCUACACAUACUUGGAAGACAAAUCAAUUCACACAUUAUAUGCUAGGUAUACCUUGUCAAAUAGGUUUCAUCCUUAGUUGAACUUAUUCGUCUUUGAUUAAGAAACAAGACUUGAGCGCGCAUGUUGGCCAUGUUAAUGAUUCUUAAUUUAGAUAUUAGUUGCUGACGAUGAAGCCAGCCGGAAUGACAUUGAUGAUGGUAAGGAGGCCGAGGAGGGUGUUUCCAAUGAACUGCAAGGCAGAUUCAAGUAUCUGGGUUCCGGACAAACUAGAGUUGCAGCUAGAGAGCGGUGUGGUAACCACGAGCUUGCAAUUAGAUAAGAGUGAAGAUAGAAGAAACUGGAGAGGAUCUAGCAGGAUUGAAAAGACUCCCGAGGCAUUCGUAGUUGCAGUAGAUAUCACAUUUCCAGAUCCACAUUGCAGUACGACAGUAGCAUCUACAAACAACAAAGAAAGAUAUAUAUAACAUGUCAAAUCUACUUGCUUAUAAAGAGACCCUUUGAUAAAUAAAGAGACUCGUUUAGGAUACGGUAUAUUCAUGUUUUAGGGUUCGGAGUAUAGCAGAUAAUGCAGCUGGGUUAAGUGAAAAUAAAGAUUACUCGAGGCGCCGGCUAUAUAUUGUAACUUACUUGGGAAUACUGGUGUAAGGGAGGCGCCAGCAGUACUGACACGGCCAUUGGCGGUGCAAAACAAAGUUCCUUGUAUGCGGAUCAGCUGAAAGAUCCGGUUGAUCAGGCCAAUAAGUUGCGCUUCGGCGAUCGGAACUGCUGCCAGUGCGGCAACAACCAAGAGCGAAACAAAGAGAAGUGUUUUGAAGGAGGCCAUUGAUGCUUCUUGGAUAGCAAUAUCAACUGAAUACUAACUGCAGUACCAACUCGAGUACUGUUAAUCUUGCUAUAUGAUUCUGCGCAGGAUGGUAACCAAUUUAUAGGCUGUAAGAGGACAAGUUGCUGCAGAGUUUACUGACCAGAAUUGAAUGCCAUUUUGGAUGAUCCGGAAAUUAUGUAAUUCAAGGACAAUAACAUUCUUGUCUUGAUCAGUAUAUUUUGGUGAAACUAAGCUCGUUCAACCAUGUAUAUAUAUAAGCAUGCACGCUGCCUCUGUGGGUGGUCUUCCACCUAGAUGCUAGAGCUAGAUCGAUUUCUCUCUCCCUAUCCCGCCCGCCUUGUUUUAAUUUGACCCUGUGUAAGUUGCUCUUUCACUAGCAUUAGCAUCACUAUAGUCACCUCCUAACUUCCUUACCCUUCAGGUCAAUGAUCCUAAGAUUGAUCUUAUAUAUAGUUGUGUACUUACCUGAGUUAUCUCUAAACCCUAACUUGAAUUCAUUGGUUUCAUUUUGUUGUUACUUGUAGACUUUUAAGAUCGAGCUCACAUGAUAUUCUCAAUUUCCGAGUAAGUUUGCUUCUGCCUGCGGGCAGCGGGAAAUAGUACUUCUGAUUUUACAUAUAGUUCUUAAUUAAGUUAGUUUGUAAGAAAUUGUGAUGUCAUAGGGAAUAGAAGACCUCAAUGCCUCGACACUUUUUUAUAUACCUGGUGCAACCGCCACAAGAAUUACAGAAUAAAGAGGGACGUAGAACUCAAACCCUAAAUUAUAAUAAGCAUAAAGUGAACAUCCAGAAAUAAAAUAGGGACGUAAUCUCCAUAAAAUCUAUGUUUAACAAGCACAUUACCAAUAAACAAAUAAUGCACGGAUGACUACUCUAUUUAUUUUGAUAUUGCCGUGAUGUACAUAAAAGAUAACUUUAUAACGAAGAAACAUAAUUACAAAUAACAUAGAUUCUUCACUAUAUUGACGCACAUAAACAAAUCCGACAAGACAUAGUUUCAUUUGCCAUUAUGAGGUCGUGCCCAUUUCAUUAAACAAAUAACUCGCGGUCUCACCAGGCCAGCCAAGAUACACCGGGACCAAGGCCACAUCUCUUUUCCAUUGCAUGGACUUAUUGCUAUGAUAAUAACAAUCGGUAAUCAUAAUCCAAACAAAAACCAUCGGUAAGUAGUCGACUAAUCAUGAUUAUCAAGCUAUUAAGUAUAAUGACCAAUAUAUCGAAUAGGGAUAUUAAAUAUUAUCCUUCAAGCUAGAUUCUUUCCUCCUUUAGAGCAUCUCAAACCGUAAACCAAAUUUGAAGCUAAAUUUAGCUUAGAAAACAAGAAUAUUCUUUGAAAUCUUUUCUUAGCUUACCAAACUCUCCCACCAUAUGCUAAAUCCUUAGCUAAAUUAAUAUCAUUUUAGCUUUAGAAAGACUCCCACCGUAAGCUAAAAUCUAAGGUAAAGCCAUAUAUUUUUAUUUUCUCAUAUGUUUGUUUAAAUUAAUAAAAAAUAUUAUAUAAAUAUAUUUGAUAUGGAGGUCAUAUGAAAGAUCUCGUCGAGAUCUUCACGAUGGUUGUUAGUAACAAAUUUUUAAUUUUGAUGAUAGUAUAAAUUAUAAGAGAAAUUUUAUUAACACAUUUCUAAUUACUAGAUACACAUCCCAUACUUAAUACACCACAUAUAUAUUAACUUUAUUGUUUUAACUUUUUACUACAUACACAUACCAAAACUUCAUACAAUACCCUCAUUUAAAAUACACAACUUAUUCAUUAAAUACACAACUCAUUCACUAAAUACACUUAUUUUUCUAGAUCUGCUACUCAAUUAUUAAAAAAAAAAUCACAUUAGUGAAAUUUUUCUCAAAAAGUUUCAUCUUUCGUCACAGUAAAAUCUAAAUUUUCAACUUCAAAUUGUACUAUCUAAUCAAAUAACAUACCCUAAAAUCUAAAUUUUGUAGUAGAUCAAACUUAAUCAAAGACAGAUGAGUCAUACCUCGCUUAGGGGUUAAGAAAUAUCACUAUAAUCCAUGCAUUACGUUGUAUUCAGUUUUUGCUUAAAACUAUAGUUGUUCAUGAAAAACGUUAGGGCUUGGUAUCUUCUCACAUUUUUUUUCUUGAAGUGGAUAUAAGAAAACUCUUAAGUGAAAUAUUUUAUUUCAGCUAGAUUUCUUUAUUUUUGAUAUGAAUGUCUUUUUUGGUAAUUUUACGUACCCACAAAGUCUUAAAUAAUUUAUAUAAAAAAAUGAUGUGUAUUUAGCGUUUGAGGACAUGUUAAUAAAAUUUCUCAAAUUAAAAUGAGAAAUGUAAAGUUGAAUAAAAUAACAUUUUAUUUUAGUUUAAUUACAAACUUCAUAAGCCAAAUUUCGCUUACCAAAUAGCUCAAGCCAAUUUUUUUUAUCUUGAAAAAUGUAAUUUGGCUUAUGACGGGAGUAAACAGAGGCUAAAUUUGGUUUUUUAGCUUAUAAUGGGAGAUGUUUUUAAUCCUCGGCCGCCUUACAAUCUUAUGGAAGAGACUUGUAAGACGCUAUUGGUUCUAAAUAAUUCGAUAGGUAUAUAUUGAUCUGUGCAAUUUGUUAGGCAAGUAUAACAAAAAAAAAUUGCAAGAGAGCAGUUGCAGGAAUGGAUUGAAUCGACUGUCUAAAUCUUAAAUUUCAAUAGCAGUUUCGGUGACUCGAACUAUAUGGGCCAAGAUUUGCCUGAGUCUCUUAAGUUUCACUUAAAAUCUUGGCAAUCUUAACAGACUGUUCCCUACCAAACACACUUAUUUGAGUUAUUUCAUUCCAAAAUAUAUAUUGUGGUCAUUACAUACCGGCCAAUUAAAAGAAAGUGUUAAUUUAUUAAGCAUUUGCCCCUUAGAUUCAUGCAUGGCCUUAUAUGGAGCAUGCGCGCAAGACAACUCAAGAAUCAAAUCACACACACAAAUAAACACGACCUACUUUUAUAGAGUAGAAAGAAAGAAAAAUCACGACAAUACAAAGAUGUUAGAUUUCAAAGAAAAAAAGUGAAAGUUCAAGGCUAUAGUGUGCCUCCUCCGACGUUCUAUAAAAAAAAGCAAAAUGUCGAUUCUUUGAGCAAACAAAAAGAUAGAAAGGUUCCGCCAAAAAUGAUACAGCAGAGAAGAAAUAGGCUGCACCACUUCCACUCAUCAUCUUCUUUGCCGUUGCACUCUAUUUGUGACCUCUUCUCGUAUACGAAGAGACACAUACCACUUAAUUAGAGACCGCCCUUUUGAAACUCAGAAGAGUACUAUAUGUCUUAUACACAUAUUAUCAUUCUGUUGAAAUGUAAAAAAACCUAUGUAAUUAAAGGGCUCCAAAAUGCCCACUAAUUGUAAGCUGAAAAUCACCUACAUUUCUAACUUCAAACGUGCGUCUGAAAUGAAUGAUUUUGCAAGUAUUGAAGAGCUAAUUAAGCAGUACAAGCUGAUGAGGUAAUAGGUUCAUGUUCACUUCCUUCUUCCACCAGUAGCGCACUUGAUAAGCUUUUGUCUUCCUUCUUGGCUGGUUUUUUGUAAAUCCAAUAUAGCACGAGCUGCACUGCUCCGAGUAAAAACCCCAUCCCAUUUGGUACCUAUAUAACAGAUUCACACCCAAAAUGAACAAAAUUCUUAGUUUUGGGGUGGUGAUUAUCACUCAAUUUUCGAUUUCCCCACUUAAGUGUAGUAAGAGAUUAGGAGAUAUUUACCCCAAGAAAAUAAUCUUGUUCGAGCCAAGCAUAAAAAAGCCAGACCCCUCCGUUGAGGAAAAAGAAGAAUGAUAGCCAGAAUGGCAUAUACUCCACACUCUUCGUUGUCACCACUGUUUUCUGAAAAGAACAUUGAGACAUAGGAUGCAUAUUAGCAUAUAUAUCACUUAUUUCAUUCAUUUAAUUUCAUCGAGUGAUCGAGAAUACUUCUUAUCAUGGCCACAGUUCACGGCUAGAGAAAUAUCCACUCGUUUUUUUUUUUUCUUAAUAGAAAACAGAUAUAGUUGCUUGAAGAACACAGCUAGCUCCAACUACUUUACACCAAUUAUAAAGUGUCCUCUGCUUAAAACAAAUAUAGAAAGAAAAUAAAGAAUGUCAUAAAAUGUCCUACUCCAGGGAGGCAUGAUAAAACAAAAUAAAAAGUGUAUGAAGCACGAAAAGAAAAUAAUUAACAAGUGGGAGCAAGUAAAAGUCGAUCAUCAAGAAGCUAGCUAACAGCUAAUCUAGUAAUUUAAAAUGCUAAUACAAGGUUAGAUUUGUUCAUACGUUACAAUCACCACUGAUUAUUCUGUUUAAAAAUAAAAGAAAAUUUUGAAGUUGACCAAAUUAUGUGUGUAGAAUGCAAAAUUUGGGUGUGGUUUAGCAGGUUACCAUUGCAGCUAGAGGUGAGGCGUACAUGAUGAUGUUGAGGCCAGCACCCAAGAACCCUAUUGCACUGAUACGUGUAUCUCCCUUCAACGCCAGCCAAGUUACUAAAAUGGCCGCCGCCGGAAAACCCACAUCCAGUAUACUAAUCCAGAUCACAGUAUUCGCCUGAAAUCGGAAUUGAUAACGUCAAUAAAGACUUGUUACUAAUUCACCGCUAAUUACCAAUCUACUGUUCAUAAUUGAUCUUUACGUGCUCACCCUCUUGUUUGCUGUCGCGUAUGUGAGAAACAGAGAGAUGUAGACGAUCUCGGCAAGAACUCCGAAGCCGUUUACGGUCGAUACAAGAUAAGCUCCGGGCUUUAUGAUUCCGUAGUAAGUCCACAGGAAGGAGUUGAGGAAUGUGCAGACGUAGGGAAGACUUGUGAACUCUUCUGUAGAACGGUUCUUUACGAUUCUCGCAAAUGUAUAGCUGCAAAUUAAGAUUGUUAUUUUCCACAGGAAAAUAUACCAAACAGUGAUGUAGCUUGAGAUUUAGAUGAGAGAUUGAGCUAGCGAUGUUCAUACACAGGAGCAAGAAACAUUAGCACUGAGAUGAGGUUGCCUGCAAUCAUUGAAAAGGAAAGUUUAACUAUUUGUCUUUCUUCACAUGAAUACAGAAACAGCUCUAAGUUGAGGGUUUAAUCAAUUCUCAGUUCUCACCAAUAACUCCGACAUAGAAACUCAAAGCUGCCAUGUCUGGAGAAACAAUAUGGAGUAGUAGCUAGUUCGAUCUGGUUCUUGCUUGGUCUUCGCUUGAGAGAGAGAGAGAGAGAGAGAGAGAGAGAGAGAGAGAGAGANNNNNNNNNNNNNNNNNNNNGAGAGAGAGAGAGACUGUGUGUGUGUUUCUCUUUUGUGAAUAAUACAAUGGUGGGUUCAAGAACUUAUAAUGUUUAAAAGGGUGGGUCUGGUUGUUGAGCGUAAUGGAAUGCAUUUCUUGUUAUGAAAAAUACUCGAUCGGGAAAUCUAUGCUUAUAUAUUUGAGUAUACAUUACCAAACAAGGAAGACUAACCAAAACAGAAAAAGAAAAAUGAAAGAAAUAUAUGUGUGCGUCUGUGCGAGCAGCAAGAAUAACGUGUAGGAAAUAACCUAAAAACAAGAGUUCUUUUUUUUUUUUUUGUGAUAGGACCUAAAACAGAAGUACCUUAAUCAACUGCAUUAAGGGCUAAUUUAGUAUUUAGUAUUGCUGUGACUUUGAAAAAGAAACUUUUACAAGCCUAAGUCAUUAACAAUAUGUUAAUUGACUCUAGCUAUCUACUUAAUUAACUAACUGGACAAUUAACCACGGAUACUGCAAUCUCUAAACUGUUAAUAGUUAACAGAUCCUUAACCUAUAUUGUAUUGAAUCCAAGGCCUGUUAAUCCUGUUAUGGCUUGUGGAGUUGAUUAACGACUCCAGGGGAUUUAGUAUUAAUGGAAUAUAUAGUUGUAAUAAUUAUCUCCUUUCCUUUUGUGGGUGUUAAACCGAUGAUCCAUAUUUCCAUAACAUGAAUGUCAUCGACUAUUAUUAUAUAUCUGUAAUAUGUGUAUGAAAACUCAAUGUUAAAUACCAUUUGAACAUGAGAUUAGAUUUAGUUGGGAGAGGGGUUCUCGAUCACCAUCUUUUUCGAUCUGUAUUAUCUUGUUGUCGGCGCAUAUAUGGUAUAUGAUUAUGUUCAGUGCCAAUACACAAACUGCCAUGAUGAAUAGGAUGCACGUUAAUAUUUCAUAUCUAUUGAUAAUAUAUUCCCCAAGUAGCUAGGCCACUCUGGCAAAUUAAGUAUGUAGAUACAUGUGUGUACGUACUCCAAUACUUACGUUAAGUACGGACAUUAUGUGAUCCCUGUAACCCUGUUUCACAAUUCACAUAUGUAUUUAAUUAGUAAAUUAGUUAUAUCAGAAGUCAACUGAGCUCUUCCUUUUCAGAUUGCGUUGUAAGAAGAAAAGGAAAGAAAGAAAGAUUGCGUUGUAAGUAACAAGAUCAAUGUUAAGCUGGAUAUAUAGAUGAAGAUGCCGGAUGUUUCUCACUGCUAGGGUAUAAUGUUGGCCAACUGAGAUCAACACGAUCCUAAAUCCUAAAUGAAAUUAACCAGCAACUUAGAGCUAGUCCUCUUCAACUUUAAUUCACUAUUUGCUUAAACGACAGCUUUCGAACCAGGUAGCGCUAGAAGUCCUUCACCUUCUGCAGCUUGUAGCUAGAACAAUAAUAAUUCCAACAUUGACAAACCAUGCAUGCGAUUCGUCUCCGAUGAUGAAGCCAACAGCAGGUUUUGGCACUAUUUCUGGCUGAGAGCAUCAAGUAUGAUAUAGAUUAGUGAAGAUGCGCUAGCUAGGAAUUUUGAUGCAUGGGGUUUGAUAUAUGCAUCUCAUCUCCCAGAAAAUAUAACUGCAUCAAUUAAAGGCUUUAAAACAAAUUAAGCUGUGGUCGAUCUGUAAAAUUUUAAAGCAUCAUCUAUCAUUGCAGCACAGUAUUGAGUAUUCCCUACAUAUCAUUUUGGAUCUGAAACCCAGGGGAUCCUAUGAAUGUCAUGCCCCUUCCAUAUCUGAUAUAUAUCUCCCAUAAGAGAGAUCAUAUCAUCAGAAUCAUAUUGAUUCUAGCUACCUUCGUUUUUCACAUUUCUCAUCCACCGUCCAGGAUCGAAACUGGGGGAGCAACAUAUAAAUCAUAAUUAUUGGUUAGUGUAUAUAUAUGUCAUCAUCAUAUAUAAAUAUAUGUAUAAUUUUUGCUUCCCCUUGGUGUAAUUCUCGUCGACCACGUACAACCAGCCAAAAUAAUGAAGGUCUUUUCAUUUUAGUUCGAGUAGGUCCUUCGCUUAUAUAUACACAAGUAUAGCUGGCCAGGCCACCCCCGUCCNNNNNNNNNNNNNNNNNNNNNNNNNNNNNNNNNNNNNNNNNNNNNNNNNNNNNNNNNNNNNNNNNNNNNNNNNNNNNNNNNNNNNNNNNNNNNNNNNNNNNNNNNNNNNNNNNNNNNNNNNNNNNNNNNNNNNNNNNNNNNNNNNNNNNNNNNNNNNNNNNNNNNNNNNNNNNNNNNNNNNNNNNNNNNNNNNNNNNNNNNNNNNNNNNNNNNNNNNNNNNNNNNNNNNNNNNNNNNNNNNNNNNNNNNNNNNNNNNNNNNNNNNNNNNNNNNNNNNNNNNNNNNNNNNNNNNNNNNNNNNNNNNNNNNNNNNNNNNNNNNNNNNNNNNNNNNNNNNNNNNNNNNNNNNNNNNNNNNNNNNNNNNNNNNNNNNNNNNNNNNNNNNNNNNNNNNNNNNNNNNNNNNNNNNNNNNNNNNNNNNNNNNNNNNNNNNNNNNNNNNNNNNNNNNNNNNNNNNNNNNNNNNNNNNNNNNNNNNNNNNNNNNNNNNNNNNNNNNNNNNNNNNNNNNNNNNNNNNNNNNNNNNNNNNNNNNNNNNNNNNNNNNNNNNNNNNNNNNNNNNNNNNNNNNNNNNNNNNNNNNNNNNNNNNNNNNNNNNNNNNNNNNNNNNNNNNNNNNNNNNNNNNNNNNNNNNNNNNNNNNNNNNNNNNNNNNNNNNNNNNNNNNNNGGGGCCUCAAUAUUUAUUAUAUGGUGUAAAUAUAUGACAUGGGGAUAGAUGUGGUUCAGUGGUAAGUAGUGUAAACAUGUCUCCCAUUACCUGGGUUUGAAUCACACAAGUCAAGUUCUUUUUUUUUUUCAUUUUUAGUUUCUUAGUGUUUUUUGUCUUUCUUUUAUUUAGUCAUUCAUAUAUUUUUACAUUUUCAUUGUAGACUUUUAUUUACUAUUUCAUACCUUUCGCACUUUAAAUUUUUUUGGGUGUUUCACUAAUUUCAGUAUCAUUUGACACCCUAUUUCUUUCUUAGAUUUUUUAUUUUUAGCACCUUAAAUUUAUAAGAUUUAUUUUAUACAUUUAGAUUAUAUCCUUUACCGUAACGUAGUUCAUCAAACUAUUUUUUUUCAAAUCAAGUAAUAACUAUUUUCAUAUCAUUUAAUAUAUAUAUAUAUAUAUAUAAUGAUCGAGUUAAUAGUAAAAUAGUACUUAUAUAUUAUGUUAAUUUGUUUUGCCGUAACUAUUUUAUUAUGGGGCUACAAAAAAUAUUCGCCUAUAGCCUCCGGACACACAGGACCGGCCUUGGUCCUCUCUCCUACCUAAGAUUUUUUUUUCCAGUUUUAGAUUUUAAGAGUGAAUGUGUGAGUCUUACGUACACCUAACAUGAUGGAAGUUGGAUUAGCCUCGUUAAUAAUAUAGAUUCUUGAACAACUAUUAUCAAUAAAGUUUUUUUUGAUAAGCUAUUAUCAAUAAAGUUAUUGCAUGCAUGUUGCACAUGUAUAAAGAAAAUUGUGGCAAAUAUUUUGCAAGCAGUCACUUGAUCAUGAUACACAUCCGGCCCUCUCCAAAUUUGUUAUCAUAUAUGACUACAGAAAAUGAUAGGUCACCAACUCACCAUGCUGUGGGAAAUCUUUGAUCCUUGCAACUUAUAACAGAUAAUCUGAUUGCUUUGAUAACGAGCUCGGCAAGGAAACAUAUAUAGGAAGCAAUACCGUACCUUAUGUAAAUAGGCAUCCUGCUGUGCAGCCCUUUCAGCCAAAUAGGCACAAGUGAUCGAAAAUUCACCGUAAAUAUAUAUUUCAUCAUUAUUGCUAGCUCCAAUCUUGAAUAUAUGCAUUUCAAUUCAAGUGAAUCGACCCUGAACAUGAUACCUCCCCUGAUCAAAACUAUCAAAAGAAGUUAUGUAUUCACGUACGUUUUAGGGAUUAUAAGAAGUGAUCUAAAAAUCUGAGGUUCGCUUCAGCCCGGCCAACCAGGUUUAUACCUAAAUCUGCCCUGUCGUGAUUGUAGCACCAGCUGCACUUUAUUUCAUCAAAGGAAAAAGAAAUGUCAAGCACUCAAGCUGACUUAAAUUAGGAAUUUUAUAGGGUACAUACUUGUUUGUGAUAUCUACAUUUACUAAUAUGACAACAAAUUUGUUGUUGUUUAGGUAAAGAUAGUCAUUACUUGAGUAAUUUUUGUUCUAUUAGAGGUGAUUACUUAACUUAAAAAAAAUUUACAAGUUUAUAAACAACUUGUUGUCAUUGUAGUAACUUGGUUCAAUUAUAUGUAAAUGUGUAAAACAAAUAUCAGUCUCAUGGCUCGCUUCUAUAGUACAUGAACUUGGUCAAUUAGACAAUUUGAUUUUGAUGUAUAGUGUUAGGUUUAAGUUAAUUAUAACAGUUUUGGAACUAUGCACAUCUACGUGAUCUAACCUAGGAAAACCUUAGUUAGCACUAUCAAAACCCUAUGGACAAGCUCUACUUCUGGGUAGGGAUCUCGAAUAUGCCGAAAGCUCUUGAGAAGGACCGGUACAUUAGAAACACUACUACUGUCGUAGGUAAGUACAUCUGUAAAGAUGAAAGAUUUUUUUGCGACAACAGAGCAGAUUAGGGUUAGGGUUUCUCAUGCCCUAGAUCGUCCCUUUUAUGGAAAAAAAAACUCUCAAAAUUAUUAAUGGUGUGCUUGUAGAAAUUAUAUUUCAAUUUGAGAAUCUGAUUGGGUUGUGUAAGACAUUGUAAUUUGAUUCAGCAUGAAAAUGACAUUUGAGUCAAGGUGUGGGGUUGGGGGGGGGAGAGAACAAACCCUAACCCUAGUUCAUCAAAGUUGGUUCUACCAGGGUCCUUUUUGACAACCAAAAUUGGUUUUACUGAUGCAGGUUUCCAAUUCAAGGGUGUGGAAGCCAUCGAGACCAGCCAUCUGUGGUACGAGGAUUGUUUGAUCCUUAGCCAUCCCAACGUAAGCCAAUCAUCAUUAGUCGAGAAUCCAUACUAGAAGACACUGAUCCUGAAACCCUUGUCUUGGUUGCCUUAAAGAGUAAGAAGACGGUUGAGCCAACGGUGGAGUCACUGAAAUAGGGACGUCCUUAGUCUCCUAGUGCCUCUCCUAAGAAGCUAAAGCUGCCGAAUGGAUCUGCUAGUGAAAGUCCUCUGUGCUCCCUCAAGAAAUAGAAGACUCUCAUUCUUAGAAUCACAACAAAGGCUCUUGGUCUAUUGGAUGAAGAGACGAGCUCUGAUAGUGGCAAUGGAAUGGUUGUUGAAGGUAAGAAUGGAAGAGAGGAAGGCCAUUCGGUUCGAAGAAUCUAAAGAACCUCAAAGCCGAGGAAAAGGAGGAAGAAUGUGGUGUGACCAUGCAAGCCGGUAACAUGCAGCCUAGCCCUAACCCCAAGGGCAAGGAUGCUCUUUAAGUUUUUUCCAUUCUUCGCAAUAAAUUAGCCCUACUCUAGGGCAAGGAUGUUUUUUAAUUUUGUUUUCCAUUCAUAACACUAGCCUAUUUGUCUAUAUGUUAGUAGAAAUAAGCUUACAGAAUAAGUGAACACAAUUAUAAAAAGUAGUCUAUCUUAUGUGCCAAAUGAGGUAUAUGUCUCACAACUACUUGUCUAUGUCUAUCUGUAGAUGAUAGCGGUAGAGUAUGUAAUGACUGCUUCUAGACUUCAUUUUAUUUAAAUUAAUGAAAGUCAUAACUGACUACUUAAAAAAAAAAAAAGCUAUAACAGUUUUGAUACUUGACGUUGCCUAGCUACUAUACGAACGAAACACUGCACUGCUUCUCUGGCGCUAAAGAGAUACUCAUGGGGAAGACGAAGAGAAGCAAGAACAAUUUAUGGGAACAUGCUAUUGUGGGUUGUCGCCACACAUCCAACAUGGUUCGUCCUAAAAAUCAUCUCGUAUAAAUGAUCUACCUCUUGUCCGUGAUAACUAACGGACCUAAUUAAGCGGAGACGCACAACAAGGCAGGGGCGGCGGCGGCGGUACAGGUGUUCAAGCGCCGUCCCUAGCAUCUAAUUAAUGACAUCUACCUUGUUGAACAAGUUGUUUUGGUCGAGGUUUAUGCUUCAAUUGAAGUAACUCCCAAUUUAUCGAGCAGGAUUCGUACGUUCUCGUUCCUACUUCUUCUGUAUCACUCUUCCAGAGUUCCAGCAUUGCAUGAAAACGAGGGAGCUGCACACUUCUCUAUACGCAUUUUUCUUAAGAUGAGUUGAUUCAUGCCUCGCUAUCUUGCUGGGAAUAGGAUGAUCUUAAAUCAAGCUCUUUAUUAGGGAACUCCUUUUUGUAGACGUGUAGCUGUAUUGUUAAUGUUCUGGAACCCCUUUGUUUUGAUAAAUUUCUCCUCUGCAUAAAUAGUAUUCUAAAAGAGCCUUUGGUAUUACUCGAUAAAUGAUGUAUCAAUAGUUCAAAAACUUCGCUGCAUCGCCCAUAUGGCUGAUAUUAUUGAUUAGCCAUGGCUUUCGCUUCCUAAGAUUUUCUCCCUGCGAAUGAAUGUGAAUCAUAUAUCCAACAUGAAAGAAACUGGAUCAAGUUUAGAAAAUGGAAUGCGAAACUGAUAAGAACGUAAUGAUUUCAUAGCAUUUGAUAAUAUAUGGCAGGGAGUCAGGGAUAGCAUCUAUUUUGACAAUAUAGAUUUCUGAUCAAUUAUUAACUAUGAAGUUAUCACAUGUUACACAUUGAGCAAGUAAAUUGCAGCAAUUAUUUUCCAACUGAUCACUUGUUACACAAUCCCCAUCUCCUCGAACAUUAUUUAAACGGUCCUGAGACAUCUAAACCCCAAACAAAAUGAGAAAAAAAAAUUGAUUAUAGAAAAGAGAAACCAAGAAGCGCCAUGCUGUGGAGAAACUCUCAUAAUUUAUAACCGAGAUUUUGAUUGCUUCAAAGGAGAGCUCUGCAAGGAAAUAGUGGGAGCAGGUGUUAGACUGUGUAAGAAAUUAGAAACUAACAAGCAAUCAAUCAAUCCUGAAAGCCAGAAUUCAAAACUCAUUUGAUAAAUGGAACAUAUCCUCUGUAGUUCUAUCAAGAGAAACAUAGCCUAGUUCUCAGAAUUCUCACCAGAGGAGCUCCCUGUGCAGCUCUUUCAGCCAAAUAGGCACAAGGCUUGAAAAAUUCCCCGUAGGUAUUUGACCAUUGCUCCAAUCUUGAGUAUAUGUAUUUGGAUCCAACUAAAUCGGCCCAGAACAUGAUACCUCCCCUGUUAAGAAGUGUACCCAAACAAGUUUAGAAGAUAUUUUGGUACAUUCAAGGUAUCCAAACAAAGUUCAGAUAUACAAACCUGUAAGGUGGAAAACCCAUGCCCAUGACUGAAGCAAUAUCAAGGUCAGCAGCUUUUACGGCAAUACCUUCAGCAUACACUCUGCAAGCCUCGUUCACAACAGGGAAAAAGAUCAUUUCCACGAUGUCCUUUUCUGGUAACUUCACUAGCUGUGUUCAAAUGGCACAAAUAGAGUCAGAGAGGAAUAGGUAAUGAUAUUAAUGAUCAGGUACUAUGUUCAACACCCAGCAAAGAUACUGAAGUUUGCUGACUAAAUUUGUAAGUCAUAUAAAUUGGCCAAGAGAAGAGAUCCCCUAGUGGAAGGGCCCUCUUGUGUAUAUAUAAUAUUACAUAUAUGUUAGAGAGAGAGAAAUAUAUUAGACCUUAGCAUCUACUGAAAGCCCAGAAAUGCUCCUUGACUUCUCAAUGUAUUUCUUCAAUUCAGGAUCUGGUUUAGCUUGGCGUUUGUCAUCAUAAACAUAGAACCCUCUUUUUGUAGUUUCACCUAAAAAAGUAGCCAGGAAAAUGAGAAAUUCCAUUCUAAAUAGGAAAAUGAGACAAAUCUGUGCUGAAGUUCAACAGAAGUAAAUACAUAUUUCACUAGCUACCUACAACUUCAAGAACAAUCAAUUACCUGCUCUCCCAUCCUCCUGCAUCAUGGGGAUAAGCAUCGACUUAUAUGUCCGCUCAGGAAAAUUCUCAAUAAAUUGCAUGCCAGUUGCAAUCGCCACACCAAAGCCAACCAAAUCAGCCAAUCUGCAUGAACAAAGAAAAUAUAAAGGAGCGUAAAGGGAAAUUAACAAUACAGGAUCAAAUAAAGUCAUAAAUUUGUGGAAUACAGUAGUAUUACUAACCUGAAUGGGCCCAUGGGCAUUCCAAAUUUGGUGAUCGCCCUGUCAAUCUGAUAUACAUCUGCACCACGCUCAAUAAGCAGAAGACCAGCUUGGGUAUAAGGAAAGAACAUUCUGUUAACAGCAAAUCCAGUGCAGUUCCCAACAACAACCGGGGUUUUCUUUAUCUUCUUCCCAACUUCUAGCAAAUCAACAAUAACUUGUGGAGAUGUCCUAUUAGUGCGAACAAUUUCCAAAAGUGGCAUGAUAUGUGCUGGACUGCAUUAAGAGCACAAGUAAGGGAUCAAUUUCACACUAAAGAAAACCAGAAGAAUUGCACGUAUAAGGGCACAGGUUUAACAAGCAUUACCUAAAGAAAUGGGCUCCAAUAAUUCUAUCAUGGGAUUUGGUCUUUUCUCCGAUAAGGUUCAAGUCGAUUGUGGAAGUGUUACUAGCAAGUAUGCAGUGUUGUGGGCAAUACUUUUCGAGGUCAGCAAAAAUUUCUUGCUUUAAAGAAACCUUCUCAAUAACCGCCUGUUUCAAGCAGACAUGAAUAUUUCAGAGCUUUCGUCGCAUUAAAAGAGCAGAAUCAGUAAGGACAAAAACAAAUAUGCUAUCGGAAUUACCUCUAUGACCAUGUCAACAUCCCUAAAGCUUUCAUAGUCCAGGGCACCUUUAAGAAGAGCAAAUGUCUUUUCAAACUUUUCUGGAGUCAUUUUCCCUUUCUUGACACGGCUCUGCAGAUUGGCUGGACCACGAAAAUGAAAUUUAACUAGUUAGCCAUCAUUAUGCAGCACAAAUUGAAGAUAACUAACAAUCACAGUCCCCCAGUCUAGUGGCAAUAUAAGAAAGAUAAUAAAUCUAGAAGGGAGGGUACUGCCAAAUACCAGAAAUAAAUCUUUCACAAGAAUAAAAGUACACAUCUCGAAACAAGAUACUAUGUACAGGCUUUAAUAUUAAAUGAAUAGUAAAAGCUCACCUUUGACUCUACCAAUCCCAGCCUGCAAGAACUUCUCAUUUACUUCUUUUAGGAUCACUGGAUAAUUACUAAGAAUCAACGCUGUGGUUAUUCCAGAGCCCAUCAACCCUCCACCAAUGACAGCAACCUUAGUCACUCGUCUCGGCAUUAAACCUCGAUCAGUAAUUCCAGGUACCUAUGGUAACACAACAAGCGUACACAAAUUGUAUUAGAGAAAAGGUAGUCAAUAUUCUCGAGGCUCAAAACAGUUUUCAAUUUAAAGUGUGGUAGUGUCACCUUAUACUAUGAUAUCAGAUUAUGACAGUGAAAUAGUAAACUUUCUAUAUCAAUAUAUACCAAAAAGCUUACAGUUGUUAAAUGUACAGAAAGAUUCAGAAAUGAAGAUUACUAGUAAGAAGCUAAGUGUCAAACCUUUGAGGUUCCACGUUGAGCAAAGAAGAUGUGGACCAAGCUCUUGCAAGUGUCAGCACGUAGAAGUCCUUGAAAUUCUUCAGCUUCCUGCAAUAGCCAGAACCAAUGUUUCAAAAUUACAGGUUGAUAAGUUUCAGUAAGCGAAAACAAUACUGACACGGAUAAAGACCUUCCAAAGCCCAGCCCGGCCACCAGAAGCUAUACCCUCUUCAACAACAUCGAUGCAAACCAAUGGAUGUUUGAGAUUGGGAGCCUGCUUCUGUACUUGAGCUCUUGCAAAUUUAAGUAUUUCCCUAGCUUCACCGAGAGGUUCUAACUUGUCAGUCUUAUGAAGACUAGCAACCCAUGGUCUCCGACGCUCCAAGAUAUCCAAGGCCCACCUACGUGCAGUGCUUACCAACUCAUCAGGUGAAACUAAAGCAUCAACAAGGCCUAAAUCAUGAGCCUCUUCCCCUUUAACCGGUUUUGAAGUCUAUUGAUUCACAAACAAAGGGGCAUGGUUUAGCAAUUCAGAAAAUCAUAAAAUGACAGGCUAACUAAACAGAUGGUAACCACAACGCACCAGCAUCAUUUCAAGUGCCUUUGAGAUUCCAACAAGGCGUGGAAGCCGUUGUGUUCCUGAGAAAAUACAAGACUGUGAAUAUUAUGCAAAGAGUAACAUAUAAACAACCAGUAUGUUCUCUAAGUUUCUUUCUCUUAAUGUCUGGAUGAGCUACAGAGCAUGACACAACCCCCACCACCAAUUCAAGUGAGGCCAAUAUAUAAGAAAACUUCAGUAGAAAUGCAUUUCAACUUAUGAACACAAUAUCUCAACAGAUUGUAGUAACCCAUAUGUAUACAUAAUGUCAUAAACUUACCGGUAUGGACAUCAUGUUGAAAUUUUUUUAGAUAUAAACAGAAAUUAUACAAAGCUAGGCAACUCAAAAAGGAUUACAGAUGUGGAAGACAUAACAACACUCAGAACAGUAACUAGGAAAUUAAAUAUUAGUCUAUUGUUAAAUGCAUUCGAGUUCUUCAUUUGCUCAGUCACAACAGCCGCGACCAGAUACAAACAAUACACUUCAAACAUUUGAAAAAUCUAUCUGUACCUCCAAAUCCAGGAAUGAGUCCAAGCUGAAGUUCUGGCAAGCCUAAUUGCGCAGUCGGAGUAGAUAUCCGGGCAUGGCAAGCCUGACAUGAAACCAUCAAAAACUCACCAAAGAAAUCCAGUACAAAAAUAACUUCAGCCAAGGGAAAAACAAAUUACAACACUUACCAUUGCAACCUCUAGUCCUCCCCCCAAGGCCAGGCCAUCAAUGGCAGCAACUGAAGGUUUCCUAGCACCUGGGAAAUUAAGCAAACCCAUCAGUACUUCAAUGAAACCUCCUUACCCAUAUCGUUUCAAUAAAGAGUUCAAAAUGAAACAGAUUACAUACCCUCGACAGCGUUAGUGAUAACCUCCACAGAUAUAUAACCAGGCUUCGGCUCCGCUGUGAAAACACAACACUAACUUGAUAAACACAUACCAAUCCAUUACUACACCAUUCCGAACACAUGAAAGCAGUAAAGUAUACCUUUAUGCCCGCCUUGUAGCCCACCGAAAGCACUAAUAUCAAAUCCGCCAGAGAAUUUCCCUUUCGCACCUGUUUUCCAGUUACGCAAAUCAUAAUUUGCUUCAACACCGAAAUCCCCUGUAAACAACCAAUACCAAAAACAGCUCACUCACCUGUAACGACAAUUGCCUUGACAUCAUCUCUCCUCAUCGCCUCCUCAUAGCUGUCUUUCAAGCCAUACAACACUGCAAGAUCACAGACGCAAAAAUGAGCACAAUUUCGAAUCAAUCAGAAACAAGAGUUGAAAUUUAGCCAAGAAAAUAGAUACCAUCAAAGGAGAGGGAAUUGACAGGAGGGUUGAUGAUGGUGAUGAGAGCCACCCCAUCAGCUCCCACCUCAAGAACCGUCCUUCCUUUAACGUUGCUACCCAUUUCCACGAGUUUGUUUCUUUCUCUACUUUCUUGCUACGUCUAGUUCUGAUGGGGAGGAAGAAGAAGAAGAGUACAAGUUUUGAUUUGGUUUUGUUAGAGAUUUAAAUGGCGUGGGACGUCGGACAGGUAUGAAGUGACGCCUGAGAGUGAGAGAGUGGUAGCUCGAAACGGUCCGGCAGAUCUGUGAUUCCAGUAGCGUGACCAACUUAACUUGGAGAUCGUAUUCAUUAACAGGGCUCGUGUACGGCACGCGUGCGAGAUGCGCGUCGUGGCGGCGAGGCGGAGGUGGGCUCCGUUUAGGAAAAUGAUUUUCCUUGAAGUUUUCAAUAUGGGUAACGAUCGCGUUUCAUAUUGUCAGCGGCCAAUGAGAAACGUACAGAGGUGGAACUAUUUUGACGAAUGAUUUCGUGACGGAUUUUUAAUGGAGGUAGUGGAGGUGAUUGUGUAGAGACGAGCGUGGAGGAUUACACCCGGGGGAUAAACGGAUCAGGGAGACAAGAAUAGUAUGUUUCGCGAUUUACGAUGCAUGUUGUCUAUGGCAGGACCAGGCCUACAUCGACGCCAAGCCCAUCUUAUAGAUCAGCCCAAUUCAUUUGAUACCGUAUUAGCUAGGCAAAUGUAAUCAAAAUUCAGCGCCAAGGAGUCGCUAGGCAUUAGUGCGGCGGUCAAAACAACCUAAUCAACCUAGACAGAGUAUCUUCAGUACACGGUGUAUAUCUUCACAUAUAUAUAUGGAUUGUCAGGAAUAGAAUAAAUGAUAUAAAAACAUGGUGAUCAAACGUAUAAAUUGUUAUUAACGAUUAAAAUUGUGUCGUGUAAAUACACGUCACGCAUAUAAGAAUUUCCAAGGUUUAUGAUGCAUUUAAGUUUGGACUCCCAUCAAUUUGUGAACAGCAAGUUUGAGAGGCCUUUAAAUUUGUGCAAUUGGUCUGGUUUUUAUUUUUAUUGAGAUACUCUCAUAGACCGAAUGCUGACAAAAUGAGCGGAUUAUUAACGAAUAUUGAUUAAGUAAGUGGGUUACUAACUUGUUAACGUAACGGAUUGCUACAAAAGAGAGUGCGUAUACAGCUACAAAAGAGAGUGCGUAUACAGUUAAGGUGAGGAUCUGAGCGAUAACGUACCGCAUAAGCCUUGCUUAGCGAGCGGUGAUAAAGCGCGCAAUUAAGUUUUUUCAAAAGCACCAAAUACCCGCUCGAAAAACCUCCCAACUCUUUCCCAACCCCCAAACCCCAGACCCCUUCUUCCUCCACCCAACCGCCACCAUGAGCGCCACCGCACCCACCACACCACCUCCAACAGACUCCGAUAUCAUCCGCCUAGCACAAUCCUACGCCCCAAUCCCCUCCUCCCUCCUCUCCACCCAAUCCCACCCAACCCUCCUCUCCUACCUCACUUGCCGCUCCCAAUCCCCUUCCCCAUCCCAACCAGUCUCCGACUACACUCUCUCUCUCCUCUCCCUCAUCUCCCAAUCCCCCCACACCCACUCUCUCUCCACUCUCCUCUCCUCUCUCCUUCUCUCCUACACUCGCCUCUUCACCUCCUUCCAAAUCCCACACGACCCCAACUCCCUCAAAACCCUCCAACUCUUCCACACACUCUUACCCCACGUGCCCUCUCCUCAUCUCCCCCAAAUAAUCGACCCCAUUUUGUCAAUUCUCCCCCGAAUUCUCGACUCCGAAAACGCCCAGAUUCUUGAUCUCCUCCCCCGGUGCUUGAGCCUGAUUCGAAGCUCCGACGAGGUCGAACGCGGCGGCAAUGUUGUUAAUUCCGUGAUUGAUCAGAUUCUGGAGAUCAACUGGUCCAAGGGACUGUUGAUCAAGAUGGUUUCGAUAGUGAGGGACUUCCCUGUUCUUGAUAAACUGCGGGCCAGAGAGUUUGUAGACAAGGUGUUCGACGGAAUGUCUAGCUUGGACUUGCAGGACCUGCCGUCGCUUGUGUACCAGUUGCUGGUUCUGGCGUCGAGGGGGUUUGUUAAGAAGGAUGUGGUUGAAGGGAUUGUGAUGUUUUUCGGGGCGAAAAUGGGGAGGAAGAAGGCGAGUUCUAUUGUUAGGCAAGUGGAAGGGACUGUGUUGCUUCAUGUUAACUUUGCGGUGAAGCAGGACCCUUCGUUGGGACAGGAGGUGAUGGGGCUUGUGAAGUCUGAUCUCAGGGCUUUCAAUCAUUUCACUGUUGCUGUUUUAUUAUCGGUUUCGAGGGUGAGGAAGUUUGGUGAGGCGUCAAUGGGGGCUCUGAAAAUGGCGAUUUUAACUGCGUAUCGUGACUACAAGUUUGCCAAGUAAGGGUUGGAUGCUUUCUGUUUUAUUACAUUUUUGUUUGAACCCUUCCUUGUGUGAAUAGUUUCUAUGAAUUGGUACUUUAUCCGUUCAUUUGAUACGGUAGCAUUUGAUCUAGUGAUAUUUAGGACUACCCAAACUCCAGCCUAGGCUUGGCAUGAAUACCUUUCCAUGUUGUUCAAAUCCCUGGUUUGGAUUUUGAUUAAUAACUGUGCGAGGAUGAGGACAUUUCUUUAUGUACAAAUACAUUAUGUUUUUUGUUUUGUUUUUUAUUUUAUUUUUUAUACUCGUUAAAAACAGAAGUUAUUUUGUGUUACACUCCUCGAGUAGGUAACUAUCUGCAAACUCUUUCAAAUCUUUCAGAGACUGUAAAUGGAUACCCGAUGACAUGAAGGAAGAAUAUCUGCAGAAUGUCAAAGUGGUCGAGAAGGCCAUGUUAAGAGCGGUAAUUGCCUGUUUUAUGCUACUUUAUUAUAGGAGAAACAGUUGGUUGAGAUGUAUGAAAAUACACAUAAGUUCUGUAGCAUAAUUUUUUUUCCCCGUUGGUUUUAGGUUCACGAGAGCAACUAUGGAAGGGAACACAUUGUUCCUAGCAUUUUGCAGUUUGCUUUUGUAUUGCUAGAGUCAGUGGAAGAGGGGAAUUAUAAAGAGCUCUGCAAUUUAAGUGGUGUGUUAGGCAUUGAGGAGCUUGCUAUUCAGAUGCUAAAAGCUAUAUUUGUGGCCCAUGAUAUGGCUAGAAAUGAGGUCAGUGAAACUAUAUAUCUAUUGAGUCACAUUAAAAAUGUUAAUCCUAUAUGUAGUUGUAGGGUUGGGAGGGAAAAACAAGAGAAUGAUUGUACAUAAUGCUAUUUAUAAAAUGUCUUCAUAUGGUGUGCAAUAAUACUACUGGGACUUUGUCUCAUGUAGAGCUGAGCAACAAUUCCCACAUGUUUAGCUGAGGGAUAUAAUUUUUCUUUUUCUAAGUACAUCAGUAAAUGAAAUUGUUAUGAAAAAAAUAUAUGACAGUCAUUUUGUUUUCCUUUAAAUGAAAUUCAAUUUGAAAAGGCUAAUAGCAUGCAAUUAGAAGAUAUCUUGAGAUACCCUACCUUGUUGGGGGAGCCCUGUUUCAAGAGUCAUCUAGCCAAGCCAGUAGCAGUCAGCAAUAACUAAUCUUUUCAAGGUCAAAUGAAAACUGUUACAUUUUUUUGUUGGGGGGAACCAUGUUUAACCUGUUGACGUCCAUAACUAAUCCCUUACAAUCAAUCACUCACCAUUGUUGAUACAUCAAUUUUCCUGUAGAUUAUUGAGCAGUGUAAAUUUCGGAUCCUUUCUUUGAAGCCAGAGCAGAGUAUGGUAAUCAUAAGGUAAUUGAAGUCAACUACACAGCUCUUAUGCUAAGUGUUUUUUAUGUUAAAAAGUAAUUGUAAUUUCAUGUGCAGACUACUCAGUAAUCUCACUCAAAGUUAUCCAUACCCCAUGUUAGAACAUGUUUCCCGUCUAAAGGAACUGUUGGACUACUUCACAUUCAUGCAUGGCAAGGUUGCUGCCCAACUUGUUACUGCUUUGUUGCCUCUCAUCAAGUUCAGCCGUGAUCUCAAGGUUCUUAUUGUUCCGUUUAUUUCAUACUUGUGAAUUGUGAUACAAAUUCCUUUUGCAGUAUUGGGAAGCUAAACUUUACUAUAAUUACCUUGAAUGGACACCGAAAUUCCCGGUUUUAAAAUUGAAUAGUCCAAUAACAGUUGGUAAUAUUCAAUAUUGUACUGUAUACUGCAUUUUAAUGACACCGAGUAAAUGACAAAUGUGCUGAAUCACUCUCAUACAUGCAUAUCUUAGUACAAAAGUGCUAAGAUAGAAGCUAGUAUUUUGUUGAGGUAUAUUUAUGUACUUGUUUAAUUGUGAUGAUGCAGGAUUACACUAUUUUGGUAAUGCGUAAGGCGAUGUUUAGACGAGAAGAUACUAUUCGUCUUGCAGCAACCAAUGCUGUUAUUGAUUUGAUUCUGGCAGAAAAGCAAUCCAAGAAAGAUGAUUUGUUGUCUUUUCAAGAGUCAUCUAGCCAAGCCAGUAGUAGUCAGCAAUCUGAGGUACCCUACAAUGUGAGGGGAGGCCUGUUUCAAGAGCUGAGCGGUCUAUUGCAGAGAUGUCUAUAUCAACCGGUGCUGUAAUUAUCUUGAGUUUCCCAUUUGCAUUAACAUAUCUGUCUUUUGUUUGAAUAUUGUCUCUGACUAUAAUGGGUUACUUUAUUUUAGGCAAAUGUCAAAGAAGUCAUGUAUCAUGGACUUGUGAAGCUUGUUUUGAUGGACCCAUCUAGUGGAGGGGCUGUCUUUGAUUUUCUGUUGCCUCACUUCCUCCAUUUCUUUAAGGAGGUAGACUGCAGAUGCUUCUUGUUUCUGAUUUUCUGAUUUUUUCUUUUACAUUUAACAUAGACUAUGCUUAACACUGAAGUAUUGGCAGGAUGCAGAUGUUCAAUUAGGAAUUAGCUGCUGCAUAAAAUCAGAGAGUGGCAAAGCUUAUGUUGAAGAGCCUUUAGAUUGCCUUCUAUCUUGUGUUUCUCGGAUGUUACUUCUACAACCAAAUGGAAAAACUGAGAAAGCCUUGAAUUCUUCAUGGGCAUGUUUGGGUUUCUCCCUUUCCCAAGAAAACGAGGUAUGUGAAGAAACUCAUGCUUUGGAGAAUAUAUGAUUUUGUUGUAUCUUUCAUAUUCUUCUUGUUAUGAUACUUAAUCAAUCGUAAACGCCUCACAGCUAGGAAGAAGUUCAUCUGCUGACACAUUCUACAGUUCUAUCUUGAAGAUACGGAAGUCUCUUCGAAAUCAGAAUAUUGAAGGUAGGAGGGUUUAUUAAACUACGCUGUAUCUCACCUCCCUCUUUUCUAUCGCUCAUCUCAUCUGUUAUUGCCAAAUCGGGGGAUUGCUUUGUUCUGUAUUCUUGGAUUACAGGGGAUUUGCACUUGGUAGAACACUAGCAAAAAGUGAAUCAAGAAAACAAAAAAAAAAGGUGUAUUAUGCUUUCUCAGAUAUAUGUUACCUGCUAGGUUUAAAUUUCUCUGUUUCUCAUCAAGCUGGUUUAUAAGCAACAGUUAAAAGGAAUUAAGUUAUAUUUUCCUAGUUGGUAAUGUCCGAGGAAUGAAAAAGAAAGGUUUUCAUACUGUACUUGCACCAUUUGCUAUUUGAAGGGGAUUGACCCUACUCCCCCUUUCUCCACUACCAAAAUGAUUGUUGUGGGUCAUGAUCAGACUUUCAAGUUAUUGUUUACAACGUCUAUCCCUCACGAAGGGUUGAACUAAACAGUGAUUGUUUAUUCCUAUUUAAGAUAAAUCCUCCUUAACUGGUUUCUUUUUGUGUCAGAUCAGACAUCUUUGGUCAAACUCAGGAUGGAGGCUCGUCAUCUUUUGAAGACAACAAAAGAAAAUGCUCCGCUUUUGUUUUAUCUGGAAUUAUUGAGGUACUGGUGAAUGCUAUUGCUACUGACUUGGACAAAGCAUCGGACAGAAAGAAAUUAGAUCUUGAAAAGGAGAUUAUUCAGUUUGUUGAGAUUCAUCAUUCACUUGACAAGGAUACAUGUUUCUCCAGCAAGAGUACUGCAGUAAGAAAAGGGAGUACUCGCACUCCUGCUCAUGAUAUACUGAACAACAUCAAUUCAAGCCCUAAAGAAAUGCAAGCACGGGUUUCCUUCUUUACAACUUCAACCAUAUAUCAGAUAUUGCAAACACUGUUGAGACUACUAGAUACUGAUUCUUCUCAUAAUGUUGAAGCUUCCCAACUGCAUAGUCAGUCUACCAGCAAGACCUCCAAAUGCAGCUCUGAAUUUAUUUCUUUUGUCUUGAAUGAGUCCCUCAGUCAUAUAAAAUCUUCCAUUCUUCUGCGAAAUGAAGACCCUUUGAGAACUUUAAUCUAUGGGGAAAUCAAGAUGCUGGGAUCUCCCUUGUUGAAACUAAUUUCUUUGUUCAAAUCAGGGCCAAAGUUGGUGAUGGAUCAAAAGAAAAAGGAAACGAAGGGCAAAAAAGAUGUUGGACGAAGGGAGUAUCUUCAUCUAGCCUUGAGUUGCUUGAAGGAAUUGAUAAUGAUUUGUUCUAAUUCAGACUUGACUGGUUUGCUUGAAGACAUGGUGUUAAUUUCCACUCUUAAGGAUGCUGAUUUGAAUAUUGAAUGCGAAAGAGCCUCUAGAAUUGAGGAUCCACAUAUAAGAAGCAUAGAACUCUUCAUUUUGAAGACAUUGAAGCCUCUAUUCUCUGAGCUUCUUGCACUUUCAUUAUUUGGUGAAGUUGAGGUAAUCAGCACUUGCGAGUUUUCUGAUCCAUACCUUCUUCUUUUCCUUCUGAAUAAAAGAUUUAAUGAUUUAUAGUUUUUUUUCUUUUCUUUUUCAUUCAGAUAAUUUGUGACCUGAUAUUGAUGAUUGGGCGGAAAUUGCCAUGCCAAUUGAGGAACUCCCAUGGAGCUUGGGCUAUUAGUGUUUGCAAAAACAAUGAAAUUAAAAACACAAAGGCCGGAAAAAGUGUUGUGACACUUGCUAUAUGUUUAAGUUCCCCUCCAAAUGAUCUAGCUAUAUCCCAAGACAUGGCCAGAGAGCUGUUGCAGGUUAUUGGAUCAGAGGGAGACGCCCCAGAGGAGGUUUCCCAGAUAUACCCCACCAUAAACCAUCAAACAUGUUCGGUGAUAAGUUCCUGUAUACUGCACAUUGUUGAAUCAGUUGUAGUUGACAUGGAUUGGGCCAUCAAAAAACUGAAGACAUUCUCUUUGGUCUCCCAAAAAGGGAUUCAUCUGAACCAGAACAGUGAGGAAUCUCCUGAGUUGGCAUUUGAGGAAAAUCUCUAUUCUAGGGCAGAAGCAGUGGUGAAAGUACUGUCAUCUUUUGUUUCAAUGAGCCUGAAUGGUAUAUGCAGUUACUAUAGUUAGUAUUGAUUUACUAGAAGAUUGUAUAACACUACUGUUUAUUCACUUUGCUUUAAAUUGUGCAGAUACACAAGCUGAAUUUGUGCUUCGUUUGGCAGCAAGGUUCUACAAGCAUUUAGCUAAGAUGUCAAAGCUUAGGAUUGCUCCAAAAGGUUGUCAACAGAUUUUUCCAAGCCUGAAGUUUCAGAAGCUUGUGGAGGUAACUUGCAAGGAGCUGACAAUUCCUCUGUAUAUCUUUGUGGAAAUUAUGCAGAAGGUAUAAUUCUGAUCCUCUUUGCAUUGUUCGUCUUAUGUCACUCUUUCACAUUAGUUGCACUAUCACAUGUUAUGUUAGUUAUGAUGGUUUAUCUGACUAUGGGGUUCCACCAUUCUUGUAUUGCAGAAACAACAAGCCAAUGCCAACAAAAAGGGAAUCAUCAACAGAAUAAAGAGGGAGAACAGAUGCAUCCCCGACCUCAUAUUUCAGAUAGAAGAUUAUGAGAAAUAUCUCAUCCAGCUGUGCAAGGUGACCAAAGUAAAUUUAUUAAGGCAUGCCAAGCGUAGCACUGCACGAGACUUUAGAAUACAACUAAAUGAGGAGAGCAGGGAAGAAGAAGAAGAAGAAAAUGCUCCAACUUCUGAAGCAAACCAUGACAAUGAGAAUGCAGUUGAAAAUGAGUCUGCUGAAGAUCUUGAUGAUAAUGAAGGAAAUGGGUCAGAGAGGGCUUUGUCACCGGAUUAUAUUAACAAUCCCCCGGCUGUGGAGGAUUCGGGCUCUGACAAUGAAGAAGGAGAUGAUCAUCCUCCUAGUGCCAAGAGGCUGAAGAGAGUCAACAGAGUUGUGGAGGACUCUGAGGAUGAAGCCUAAACCAAAAUGCAGGACUAAUGGUAUCGUCCAUCAGCAUCUCUUCAUAUUUUGCAUGCUUGUAACUAUAACUCUUAAUAGUUUCAUUUUUGCAAAUUUACAAAUAGUUAGAAGGUUACGGUGAGAUUGAGCAAUCGAAACGUUCGUUCGUGUGUAUAGAGAGAGGGAUAAUUUUAGCUAAUAUGGUCACGGACUACAUUCGAAAUCUCUUUGCAUUAUUUUUCAACACUCAGAAGAAUAGACAAAUAAAAACUGAAAAUGGAAAAAGAAAAAGAAAACACUGUCUACGUCUGUCCUGUAGUAGAACGAUGAGUCGGAGCUGGAAAAAACAGGUUGAAAUUUGGUAGCAAAUUUGAAACCAAAUUAAAUUCCAUGAAUACGACACCGUUUGCGUCCCUUUCCGAUUGCCCUACUUAAAAAUCCUCCGUAUCGUCGUCAGGGAAUCGAUUCUCUGUUUCACUGUUUCUGCAACUGCCAGAACUUUCCCUACAUGUGGUAAAAACAUCUCAGUAAAAGUAAAAGUAAAAAGACCCCCACCCCAAAAGGUUAAUAAACACUUUCCGCGCAGAGACUCACAGUCAGUUACUUGAAAAGUAACAAAAGGAAAAGGUGGAUGUGGUUUAAGCAUCUUCUUCUUCUUCUCGAUUCAGAAAUCAACGGCUCUCUUUCUCUGAUUCGUUAGCCUCAAUCGGAAUAAGAAGACUGCGAAAUGAGCCAAGACGCCAAGAGAAGCGUUGUUCCGGGGACUGUGCCGACGAAGCCGAAUCCCGACGACCGGAAGCCCUCGCCGGCGGUCACUACCUCCACCGGGAAGCGCGUCAUCAUCAAGAGCGCGGAUAUGUUCCAGGACAUGCAGAAGGAGGCCGUCGAAAUCGCCAUCGGCGUUAGUUCUCUCUCUUGAACUUCGUUUUAUCUUUGGAUUUGAUUCGGAGAUAGGUUUUCCGGUUAUGAAAAUUAGGGUUUUGGUUUCAGGCGUUUGAGACUCACAGCGUAGAGAAGGACGUGGCGGAGCAUAUAAAGAAGGAGUUCGAUUCGAGACACGGACCUACCUGGCAUUGCAUCGUCGGUCGCAACUUCGGUAAACUUCUCCGAUUUCAUUUCAUUUCAUUUUCCGGCGUUGUUCAAGAUUUAGGAUGUGAUAGAAUUUGAGUGAUGGUGAACAAAUGUAAAUGGAUAGUGUUGUGGUUUAAGUAGUAGUUGGGUUUCUAUUUUGAUGAAAAUGGAUAGAGCUGUUUAGAUCUAUGCUUUGAUUAAUUACUGGAUUACUGUUUAUGUCUUACUUCAGUUCAUGGCAUUAAAGAGUGCUUAACCUGAUGGGAGAAAACCCGAGGGCGAAUGAGUGUUCUCUACAUGAUCAUAGUUUUGGACGGAUCUUUAUAAAACUCUUACUCGGCUAGUGCUGAAUAAUUGAAAGUCAUGGGUAGGAAUCAGAAAAUCAAGAGUCGUUCUUGUAUCAAAUGCAAUCACGGUUGAAACAGUUGGAAACAGUCUUAUCCCGGAACGUUCUGAUAGUUAAGUGUUGGUCAUCAAAACACUUUCGCAAAUAAGUAAACUUAAUUACUAUCUAAUAUGACAGAAUGGAUGUAAAUUAGCUAUUAAUUUCCAUGCCUUUUUGAGACAACAAAUACAUAAUCAACUUGAGCUUUGGCUUUUAUGUUGUGUGGCGACAUGGAGCAGUAACUGCUUAGCUGGUUUAUUUAGAGGGAGAGAAUUUAGGUGGUUAUGAUAGUAAGAUUAAGGAAGAGAGGUUUUAAGUAUGAAAAGGUGAUACUUGAUGUAUUACUAGGCAAUAGCUACCCAUCAAUGAGUUGAUAUUCUUUACUUUAUAUGUCUAUACAUGAUGGUUUACUUCUGUGUGUGGUGCAUUGUUAUUUGCUUUCCGGCGUUUGCUUUGGCUCAUGCUGUCAAACAAGAUUGGUGUAAAAUUAAAUACCAUCCUUGCUUUGAGGAUUUAUCAUUGCUGCAUAUUUUCUAUUUAAUUGAAUAUCAGUUUGGUCCAUCUCUUUUAAAAUGAAACAAUUGGUUAGAGUGCCAUGUAUGACCAAAGUAACACUCUUUAGUUUCUACUCUGCCAACUCUUAGCUUGAAACCCUUGUAAUAAAAUCUGAGGCUCAACCUAGGUUGAAUAGUUGUUCAUAAUUUUGCUGUUAUUUUUAUUGUCUUCCAUGACCAUCUAUAGUAUGACUCUCAGAAGCACGGGGUUAGCUACUUUGGGAUUCAUGACUUUGUAAUCUGGGCUUGCACUUAUAUUUAGUUGUUAGGUUUGAACUAGCUGCAAUGAUCUCAGCUCAAUGCAUUCCUGAUAGAUGUAUUGAAUAGGAUUUAGGGCAGAUAUAGGUGUCUGAUGCCUUUACUGGUCUUUGGUAUGGCAUCCUGCUCCAGAUGAAACAAUAACUUCUAAAGGAAAUGUUUUCUAAUUCUUUUCUUGCUCCAUCCAGAAUAUAAAAGUUGUGGGUUUAAUUUUGGAUUAUGUGAAGUAUGUAGCUCUUAUCUGGAUCUGAAUCCGAAUAUCCAACAACUUAUGAUUUUGUGUUGUGUAUGCAGGUUCAUAUGUGACUCAUGAAACAAACCACUUUGUCUAUUUCUACCUGGAUCAGAAAGCAGUUUUGCUAUUCAAAUCUGGUUGACCACUUGUGAUGUUGAUAAACAUUGGACGAAAAGAAUGAUGGGCCUGAGCUUGUGAUGCUAUAAUUUGCACCUGUAUGUAUUAAUUGAGAUCUGCUAGCUUGCAAACAUGUGUGUGCUUAACUUGUAUAUCUACAAUCACUUCUACUGGCUUUGAACCGUUGUCCUGAAUUUCAGUCUUUCAAAUGAAUGAUUUCUCUGAACUUUUCAUGUUUAAUCUCAAAGCUUCUCAUAUUAGUGAUAUCACUUGCGGAUGAAGUGAAAAAAAAUUUGGAAAUAGAUUUGGAUGUCCCGUGGAAACCAAAUCAGUUCAUUGUGUAAAAACUUGGAAAUGAAGAUGCCAUUGUUCUUUUCUUUUAUUCUCCUUGUUUAUUUUGUUCCCCUGCAGUCAAUUAUGACCUGAUUGAGGUAGAAUUAAAGCUAAUGAAUGCUCACUGUUCUCUAAUCCCUCCAUUCAAACAUGCUAGUGAUGUUUGAUGGAUGAUUUUGCUUUUACUUGCUUCACUUGUACACGGAUCUUUAUUACAUUCUUGUAAGACACUUAAAUGGGUAGACACAAUGACUUGGCUUCUUUUUUCAAUCAUUCAUCUAAUUCGAAAUAUUUCUGUGGGUGGGUGCUCAUCUGUAAACAUAGGAUGCCAGUCUUUUUCUGUCGCAAUGGGGCAGAGAAAGUUCUUAUGUAUCUAGUUUAUAUUUUUUUUUUAUCAAGAGUCAUGUACAAUAUUUUAAUUUUUGAGUUUGAAAAACUGUAGGAUAAACUAUAUGAUUCUAUUCACUUGAACAAAUAUUGGAGAUUCAGAUGCCUUAUGAAUAAUUAUUGGAGACAAACCAUGUCUACUGCAAACAGUACACUAUUGGCUAUUGCUUGCUGUUGAAGCUGUGACCAACUUGAGUUAAAGGAGUCGAAUAGGUAAGUUUGCUUCUAAUUUUCAGUUUUCUUUUUUUUUACUAUGAAUAAAGAAUUCCGACCAUUAGAAUCUCCUCUUUGAGUAAUAUGAUCAAUAUUCUAAAAAACGCUAGGCGCUAGUCGGGCGGACAACCGGCGCCUACCGCUCAGGAUUAAUUGGAUGCCUAGACGGUUUUGUAUUUUUCAUAUUUUUUAUUUUUUAAUAGCAAAUAAAUUUAUAGAAUGCAUUAUAAUGUUCCAAAAUAGCAAAUAUACUGAUAAAUAAAUAAAAUGGUCAACUACUAUGUUCUUGGAAAUAAAAAAACAAUUUGAAAUAAACAAAUUAGGCUUUGAUGUGUUAUGAUAUAAAAUAAAAUGAAAAACUAAUCGGGCCGCCCAGCCCGCCCAAGCGCCACCCAGCCCGCCUAGGCAGCCGUUUUUCUCGUUGGCGCCUAGUUUGAACAAUUAGUGGGAAAUCGGAACGGUAAGCUGACGCCUAGCGUCUAGACAGCCCUGGGCAGCGUUUUUUAGAACAUUGAAUAUGAUUAAAUUUUUCAUGUCUCUUUUGUCAAUAAACAGAUAAACAUACUAACAUUUUCAACACAAUAGGUUUUUGGUGCUACUAUUAGAAGAAAACGAAUCUUAACAUUGCAAGUACUCCACUAUUACUCAUUCGACGUCCAUUAGCUAGAAUUUGGAAGUUGAAGCUACAUGUUGUUUAUUCUAUUUCUACCCCAGAAUCUCCUUAAAGCUUUUGGCAUGUCUAAGAUACCAUUGAUUAUUAAAGCUCAGCCGCCGCCACCACCAAUCUGUUUGGCUCUAAAUCCUCUAAUAAAGCUAAUCUUGUUUAUCUUAGGAGCAUACUGAAGAAGAUAAUUGGUAUUAAAGUAGUCACGAAAGCGAAGGUUUGGAUGGAGAUAGCUUGGAAGAGAGAAGACAAAAAAAGUUCCCAAAUUUUUUAGGGCUUUUUAUGAUUGAUUGAAUGACAGCUCAUCAAUGGUCUGGAGCUGUGAAAGUUCUUUGAAAAGAAGAGCAUACAGUAUCAGGCUGAAGCAGUAGAUGUUGUUUGAUUAAGAGCAUAAUAAGGCAAAAAGACAAAGUGGUAACUCUUGGUUAUUCCAAUUAGCAUGCUUAUUCCAAGUUCCAAUAUUCAGUACUGCGACAAAAACCAAACAAAAAACAAGAGCAUAGAUUCCAUUCCGAGGUCCUAGUUUCAGGUGCUUAUGUUUAAUGAUCUUAGAAUUUAGACUUUGAAACUAUAUGUUAAUAGUCACUCAUGCGCACCAUUGUUGCCAAAUGAUUGAUACACCCUUUUGCCCUUUUUCUCUGCAUGUUUCACUAUCAAACUGUUGCCUGGUGCCAAACUGCCAAUUAGCAUCGCCUGCAUAGAUAUGAUGUUCCAACUUCCAAUCAUACAUUGCUACUUGCUUCAUCUAGCAUGAAGAUCAUAUAAAAUUGCUCCAUCAUUAAUUGCUUAUACAAAUCAUUCAUGGCAGCAUAGCAUAUCAUCUCACAGAGCGGAUUCAGUGCGCACCAUGGUGGUGCACUUGAAUCUCUCAUGUGUAUUAACGGACGUUAGUUUGACCGUUGCAUGGUUGGUCAGAUGAAGACCCAAAAAAAAGACUCGUCCGCCGCCGUUAGCACCAUAAGACUCCAACAGUCCAACCACAGAACAUCGACUCCCGCAGCUUCUACCACAACCUCGACCACCUCAACAAGGUCUUCAUCGUCGUUGGGUUCCCCAACGCGGCACAGCCUGAUGCCUGGAAAGGAGUGUCCACCACGACGUUGCAGAUGAUGGCGUCGAAGGUGUGGUCGAGAUUCGGACAUGCCUUUCCAGGCAAUCCUGCCCAUCAUCAAUGGCCUCAAAAAGCCCCUCGCCUCCUUGGAAACUUGAACCCAAUCAAAACCUAAAGGCCCUCACCUCCCUGAUGCGCAGAUUGAAAUCUGAUGCCAAAAUACAAGAGCCUCCAAUUUGCAAUCUGAACCCGAUUGAAACCUGAUCUCCCCAGUUGCCCAAGUCCGCUCUUCAAUCCCGGCGUCGCCGUUCGCACCCGAGACUCUGCCUCCCCCAGAAAAGUGAUUGACCCAGUGCCCAGAACCACUACCUCCUCCAUUCACAGGCCACGACUUCACCUGUGGUUUUUUUCCUAAUCUUUCUAAUCUUUCUUGAAUGGGUUCAGUCAUGGCCCACUAAAUAAAUGGCUCAUGUUUUGCCACGUGUUCCGGUUCCUUUGCAGCAUCCCAGAACUUUCUCUUUUGUUUUCCAGUUAAUGAGUGAAAAUGUUUACAUUCUAUUUCCGUAUCAAUUAAACACCGACCUUUAACAUUAUUCACUUAAUGGAGUUCUGUCUAAAAGUUAUUGUUUGUCUCUUGUCUUUGGGUGAAAAUCCAUUCCCGAUAGUUUGGAAAUGACUACUGCAUUUUCUUAUUUAUAUGAAGAAUGUUAGUUACUUUAAGAGAAGAUUUUACAAAUAGUACCCAAGUUAAGUCCAUUCAUCAUUUCUUAUACAUGAAUCUUCAAAACUAUAAGAAUUGUACCCUAAUUAACACCGAAACCGAAUACAAGAAUUCCUAGGCACCGAUUUUUAGAACAUUGUUAUUAGUGUAUGCUUAGCCAGUGUAAAAGAUACAUUCUUCGAGAUUUACUCAGUAGAUUAUGAUUAUGAUUCUUGAUUUACGUACAUCAGAUUGUACUCUUGUAUUCUCUUGUACAUAUAUUCCCAUAUUCAUGAAUAAAAUAUAUUAAUACAAUUCUCUGAUAUUUGUUUUAUCUUUACCCUACAACACCAUGUUAAAUAAAGGUUAGUUCGGAAAAUGGUUUAAUGUACAUGUACAUAAAGUUCUUUAGUUUUGUUCUUGAGACUGCCCUGAAAAAUUAGCUCAUUGUAUUUGACUAAAUAUUAUUUACUCUCUAUACUUUACGCCAUAAAAUAGUUAAAUCUCGCUCUCGUCUUUUAAAUUAAACAUUGUACUCCUUGUUCUUUCAUUUUCUCAUCAAUAUCAAAAAUGCAUGUUAUAUUCCUAACUACUUCUUUUCUAAAUGUGCUUCCUGUUUUUUUAUUUUUAAUUCUUCUUCUUUUUUAAAUGUGUUUUCUCUCUGUUACUUCAAUUCUCUCUCUGAGCUUAUACCGCGACUCAUAAAACUCUCUCCUAGGGAUUAGGGUUUUUUUUUUUUUUCCAGGUUGUGCGGCGAGUUUCUCAGAUCAAUGGCCGCGGUCAUGGCUUCCACUACUGCUUCAGUAACAGCUAGUCUCAUCUCAAAGCUCUCUCUCACCAACGAGGAGGAACCAGUAGAUCUAGGAAACCUUCGAUGCCCUAAAAAGGGUUUUGUGGCUCCUCGAUUCUAUCUCGUGGGACGCCUGAAUACCACUUGUGUAGUCCCUUUUGAUUCAUUCUAGAGCGCUAUUCACUCCAUGUGGAGGCUCUCCAGGACGGUGGACGUCCAAGCAAGGGGCGACAGGUUUUUGUUUACUUUUGCAAAUGAGUGAGAUGUCAACCGUGUGAAGCGGGGUGGACCGUGGGGCUAUCAGCGGGCGGUGCUGCUCAUCAAUGACUAUAAUGGAUUAUCUGACAUUCGAGCAGUAUCUCUGGACUCUGGAUUUGGGUUGAAAUUCAGAGCUUGUCGAUAGCUCUCUCCAGCGUUGUAAUUGCAUGUCUCGUGGCGGAGACUAUUGGGAAUAUUAUGGAGGUCAAUCAUGGUGGUUUCCAACGCGGCAUUGCAAGAGUUCGCCUCACUCUGCCUUUGCACUAACUGGUGCACGUGGUAUUGGAAAAGUGUGGCUUAAAUAUGAGUCAUUUGAAAUCCCACAUCAGAAACGUGAAAGAGUCAUCCUCAGGUUAUAAAGAAUGGUACCACACACACUAAUGUCGAGGCCUUUUGUGUAAAACCUCAUACCCGUUUCUCCACUAGGUGGCUAAAAUGGGGGGAUGAUCGAUAUUAUUGGACCCAUGUGUGUGGGACCCGUGGGGCCCGUCGGCCGCUUUCGUGUAACACUUGGAAUGUUGAAUUAGGGUUUCCCUAGUUGACGUUUUGCCGGUCCAAUAAAAAUAUAAGAGGUUGCUUAUUCGCUACAGGACUUGCUCAAUGAUUAACCAUGGAGGUGAGGUUUGUCCAAGGGAAAAUGAAGAGAUCUCUAGCCCGAUGACAGUGUCGGUUGUUGCUACAGUGCCUCCACUAUAACAAUAUUAGUCAAUGGCCACACAUCAAGUGUAGCCAUUAGGGGUGUUGCAAUUCCCGGUAAGUGUGGCAAAUAGUGAGUAUUGAUGGAUUAUGGGGGAAAAUGUCACACAUGGGGGAAUUGCAACACCUCUAAUGGCUACACUUGAUGUGUGGCCAUUGGUCAAUAUUGUUGUAGUGCUCCUCCUAUGGUUUUUAGGGCUAACACCCCUAAAACCCUAACGACACCUUUAAUGCCCUCUUUGACUUCUUUAUUCCCUAAAUAAAAAAUAUAGGUGCAGAUCCAGGAUGUACCUGCUUUCCCAUCCCCAACAAAGAUUACUGGUACUCGAAAAGAACGUGAGGAGGAAGAGCAGGAGAAUGGUAAGCGCCCAAAGCACGCUUUGGCAUUGUUCCCUCUGCCACUGAAUCCACAGGAGCUAGGGUUUAAGCAGACCGUUGAAGGUGGUUUAAGGCCUUUCGGCAUUGCAAAGAAUGGUAAGUCCCCAAAGAAACAUGGAAGGCCACAUGGUAGCAGAAUUAAGAAAAUAACUAAGGGAGAAGCAUCAGACUCCAUGGCAUAAGCUGCAAGCUCCAUUAUGGAAGAGCCUAGCCUCAAUUCUGAGGCCGGGGAGAAGUGAUCCAUUUUCAGCACUCUAGAGACCCAUGCACAACUACACGUCUGGCUUCCCUUCUUCCUUUUGAUGGAAAGGUACACCAUGAGACUCUUAGGCCUCAAAUCAAAUAGUUGGAGUGCUUGAAUGUGUUGUGCAGGUUAUUGCUUUCGUAAAUGAAAAAUUCCUUUUCGACAGUUAGUUUUCCUUUUCAGUAUUUGGUUCAGUUCUUUACUUUUUCUUGUAGUUCCUUCGGGUUGUAGGCAUCUCAAUGCACAUCGAAUUAUAAUGAGUUCACGUACUCUUAGGCGACUCUAGAUUGAUCUUGUACAAUCGUUGUGGAUUUUAAUCAAUGAAUUUAAUCAUUUUCUUAAAAAAAAAAAAUAAUGCUUUUUCUCUAUUUAAUUUUUUAUUUUUGUGCUUACCUUGACUUGCUCUUCCACCAUCGAUAAACGACGACGAGUAACUUUAGUUCUCAAUAAUUUGCAACCAAUCUCAGUAUAUUCAUGGGUGCAUCAUACAUUGCGACAAAUAAAGAUUUUUUUGUAAUUCGGAAUCGGUAGACGACAACUUUAUCUUCAAGCUGAAAGAUUUCUGCUAACUUGAGUAUAACCCAUAUCUAUUACGUGUUUAUCACUUUCGUCAAAAAUCUUACAUUUUUUUAUCUCUUAGUGAUUUUUUAUUUUUAUUAAUUGCUGAGCAUCUUUAAUGAUGUUAGCCAUUUUUAAGUUAAAUUUUAGUCAAAUUAGCUAAAAUGUCAUUUUAGCUAGCCACUUUAAAAAUACGGCUGCAUCAAUGCUCUCUAUUUUAGCUAACAUUAUAUCAACAUUAUUCUUCAAAUAAAGAUUAAAUAGUUUAAAUAUAUUUAGAUAUCAUGUAAAAUAUCUUACAAUGAAUGUAUUAAAUUAUAGCUAGCUUUAUUUGAGUCAUCUCGCUCUUUAUAUUUAGCUAGCGAGACAUAAGAGCAACUUUAGCAAACUCUCUAUUUUAGCUAGCUUUUAGCUACUUUAGAGAGGGUGUUUAACUUUUUUUGAUAUUUUUAGAGCUCCAGCAGACUAACCAAAGUUUAGUUAUUAUAAUUUUUAGUUAUCUCGUUAGCUAAAUAUAGAGAGCGAGAUGACUCAGAUGAGACUAGCUAUAAUUUAAUAUAUUUCUUGUAAGAUAUUUUACGUGAUAUAUAAAUAUAUUUAAACUGUUUAAUCUUUAUUUGAAGAGUAAUGUUGAUGUAAUGCUAACUAAAAUACAGAGCAUUGAUGCAGCCACAUUUUUAAAGUAGUUAGCUAAAAUAACAUUUUAGCUAAUUUGACUAAAAUUUAACUCAAAAAUGGUUAGUAUUGCUAAAGAUUGCUAAAAAUGUUUUAAGAGCUAAACUUUGGCUAGUCUACUAGAGUUUUGAAAAUAUGAAAAAAAAACUAAAUAAAGAGUAAAAAACUAAAAUAAAGUUGCUCUUAAAAUUUUUUUAUCAGAACAUUAUUAAGACCUUUUAUGGGAAUACAACAAAUAACGUCUAACUUAGCAUCGACAUUAAUUUACUCUGCUACCCCCGCAGACAACCAAUAAAUCAGAAGACCAAACUCCUGUCCUCUCAUCUCCAACAGAGACCCUCUGAGAUGUAAAAAUAGGAAGCUCAUGAACUAAAACAGCAAAAUCAUUCAAUUCCAGCAGUAAAUGUUGUAUUCAAUGUUGCAGUCUAAUCAAAUAGGAGGCUCGAGAGUUAAAGUACGAAGGGGUUUUACCGAAAUAUUUUCAGUCUCAUGUUCCUUGGUGGCAAUAAUCUUCUCUCUUUUUUUCUCAUAGGGACCAUGAACCAUGAAAUUGUUCUCCAAGUAUCUGCACUUAUGUUCUCCACUAAUAUGAAAUAUAUUAUUGUCCCCUCAGUGCGCAAUUUAGACAUUCCCUCUACAAAUCCAUUAGAAAUGCGCAUCACAAAAAGGAAAACACAACACAGAUUUUGCAUUGCCAAAACUCCCAUAAGUGCUAAAGAACACAACACCACACACAACAUAAACCACCACCACCAUUGCGUUUAAGCUUAGAAUAAAAUGCCAUUAAUGCCCUCAGACUGUCACAAAUUACACUCAGACUGUCCUCCAUAGUUUGUGUUCUAAACAAUGGGGGGAACAACCAAAACUAUGGGCUACAAUGCUACAUUAUUCACACUAUCACAUACAACAUGUGAUGGGGGCAAAACUAGUUGGAUUCUCUUGGCCUCAAACCAGGAAACAUAGACACUACAAAAGGGACAACAAGGUCAUUUCGAAACAAAAAAAGGGGUACAAAGGGACACAACUUAAAGAAACCAUUUCUCAGUUCCACUGGUUUUUCUUAUUCUUCUCUCAGUACUCAGUAGGCAAAUCCACCCGCCCCUUUGUUUCGGUUUGAGCCUCGAGAAGAAGAAGCUGAAGAGCUUGAAGAGGAAGAAGCUGUAUUGGGUUUCAUGGCAACCAUUGAGCAGUUCAUUUCCUUGCGAACAAUCUCCUCCUCGUCCAUCAUAAUCUGAUUGUACCUGCACUCCACACUGCAAAAACCCCUAUCUCCCCUGCAUUUUUCAAACCAAGAUUUCCACUUCAGUUAAACCAUGCAAAUUAACAAAACCAAAUUCUGGGUUUCAACAGAAACAGUAAAAUCAGAGAUGGGUUAUUGCAGUUGUUUUUGAGAAAGGUGCGAACUUUGCGCUUGCAGAACCAAAAUCAAAAUCUGGUAUUUUCUAAAAUUGGGAGAGGGCUGUGCCGCUGUGGUUCAAGGUGUGAUUUUUAACUUACUUGUACAUGUAGAUGUCUUUGCCAAGCAAGAGCUUCUGCUUGCACAGAAAGCAUUUGUCAAGAAAAUUGGGAUUUGGUGGCAAAUAGGGAUAGUUGUUGUGAACUCGGGGGUAAUAUGGCAAAGCAGAGGGCGAGAAGGGUUUGGUGUUCGUGUUGAUCAUCAUAGUGGCUUUGUUAAUAACACUAGCGGUAGCAGUAGCACUACUACCCUUUUGACCUUCCAAUACUACACUAAGUCCCACCAUAUCUCAUACUCCACUGUAAUCUCUCUCACUCUGUGAAGCUCUCUUUCACUUGAAAUAUUUCAGAGAAGAAGAGAGAGUGGGGGGCUUGGCUCUGAUGGUGAAAAUCUGAGCAAAAAUAAAUAGAAGGGAGAAACAAAGGCCGCCUAGAGGCGAACGGUAGGACCCAUCACACAGCUAUGGAGCAGUAACAAGGACGAUUAGCGUAGCCAAACCAUUUGACUCCUUGUGCUGGUUAACUGCCACAUACACACAUCUUCUUUCAGUUUCCGAUUCAAUUUUUUCCCUGUUUUGUUUUUUCAUGUUUUGCUUUGUUUUCAAUUUUGGGUUUGGCUGCUUGUGCUUACGGUUUUAGGCUUUUGUUUGCUUGCGUAACUGGUUCUGCUUUAUUUAUGGUGGAGUUAAAGAAAGGGGGGAAAGAAGAUAAAUAAAACGCAGUCCGUAUUGUACUGGUCAUGUGAGAAUCUUUCAAUGGAGGAGUUGCAUGGGUUGUGAGAUAAUACAUGAACCAUCUACACAUUGAAAGCAUGUUGCUUCUUUGUCUCUAUGUAAAAUUGCCAAAAUAUAAACUCAGAGUUUGUAACUUCCUUGUAUUCUUUCUAUUAGAAUCCCUAAUCUCAUUUUAUAUAUAGUAUGUGCUAAUUAUGAUAUACAAGUAGAAAAAUCUGAGAUAUAAGAGUGGAAAACACCCCGUUGUGGAAAUAUAAUACCUACUUUGAAUACUAGCAAUUAUGGAUGAUAUGGGGAAAACAGUUCAAGCCUUAAACGGUAUUAAUUUGUAUGUACAUGAAGAUGAGCGACCAUUGUUUUGGUUAAUGUUGAAAGCUCUGUCCCAACCCACACUUUUGUUUAAUUUUUCUUUGCUUUAUCAACCAAUAGAGGGAGAAAUUUCUAACUCAAUCCGAACCCACUAACAAAUAGGGCGGGCUUUACUAAUUUUGCUUUCUAGAAGGUUAAUAUAUAGAUCGAUAGAGAUGUACCCUUUUUAAAUGCUUCCUAAUUUUGAUAAAAUUAACUUUUUUUGAAAGGAGAUAAAGUAAAUAUAUUAAGAGAAAUUUUAUUAACACAUCCCUAAUUUCUAAAUACACAUCUCAUUCUUAAUACACUACAUAUUAACUUUAUUGUUUUAACAUUUUACUAGAUACACAUACCCAACCUUCCUAUAGUACCCUCAUUUAAAAUACAUCACUUAUUCAUUAACAAAAUCCAUUCACUAAAUACACAUACUUUUUUAAAUCUGCUACUCAAUUUAUUCAAAAAAAAAAGAAAAAAGAAAAAAAGAGGAGUAUAUAUAUAGCAUCAUCCUAAGUUCUAGUUUGGUGUAACGACAUAACAUGCGUGAAUAGUAAAAUUUAAAUUUCAAACUUCAAUCUGUACUAUCGAUAGUAAAACCUUGAUAAUUUAAUAUUUGAUAACCUCGAUUAAAUAAUAUUUUUUGCCAGCCCCGAAAUAAAUAAUUAGCAAAAUUGACGUCGAUAAAUUAACAAUCUCGAUUAAGUAAUAUUUUUUGUCGGUCAUGACGUUAUUAAUUUAUAGAGAUUUAAAUUAUAAGGUUUGGUAUCUUCAUAUACGUUGUUCUCGUAUAGAAGAAAAAAACUCUUAAGCGGGAUAUUUUAUUUCAACAAGUUUUCUUUACUUUUGAUAUGAAUGUCUAUUUUGGUAAUUUUACGAACCCACAAAGUCUUAUAUAAUUUCAUAUAUUAAUGCUUCAUUUUUCUCAAGAUAUAUAUAUAUAUAUAUAUAUAUAUAUAUUAAUGUUUCCUAACCCCUCAAUUUAAAAGGUUACUGAAAUGAUAUUAAUUAUUCUAUUUUAACAUUUUUUUUAAAGAAGGGUGGGUGCAGCUCUUCUUUAAAUUGAAUGUCGGUGUCGUAUGGUCUCCGACUAAUAUGUGGUUCAAAUCGAAUGUCAGUGUCGUGAUGGCAGGGAGGACUCGAUGACGUCUGUGGUCUGGCGUGGGAGGUACGACGGUGGCUAUGCGCAGGCGGUGAUGCGGUAGCCAUGCGUCAUAAGUCCCUUCUUCGUGAAAGAGUAAUUAAAGUGUGAGCUCCUGAAUUUGACUCAAACAACAAGUUCUCUUGGAGUAACUUAAGAGUAAACAUAAAAACAAACCGUGAUUUCUUAUAGUUUUUAAGAAUGUGCAAACUUAAAACUUUAGUUUUUAAGAAUGUUUAGUUCUAAAACCCUAGAGAGCGGCGUCAAACUCAAACCUCCAUGUCUGGUGACGUGCCUUGUUGAUGUAGAACAGACGGCGAUAGAGAUUGAAGAGCAUAUCGAUUAAUCGUGGAAAGUCCAAACUCGAUUUGCUCCAGAUUUGGCGUUCGGUGUCCAAUUGACCAUUAUAAUACCUUUCUAGAAGCAUAACGGCCCAACAAGUCAAACUCGUCGCUUUGCUAUGAUGUAUAGGCUUUUUAGGCCAUCCGAGUCCGUUUAGGGUUUCAAAAUGCAGAUUACUUGGUUUCGGCAAUUAUUUUUACUAGUUUGUUUUUGAUUUGGUUUUCUUUUAAUCCAUGGGCUUUUAGGCUUGGAUGUUAGUCGCCAGGGUUUAUUCGCUCCUAUAUAAGGACCAUUUAUUAGUUGUAGUUGGCAGCUUUUGAUAUUAAUUAAACCUUUGAUAUUUUUACUAGCUUUAUCUCAAUUCUCUAGUGGAUUCCAGAUUCUCUCGUGGAUUGAGAAAACCAGACUUGUGGAUUAAAGUUGCCAUUGGUGGGUUCCAACAUUUAUAUUUCCGCUGCAUCACUUGCACCGUCACAGCAGGGCCUUCAUCCACGCUUUCAGUUUUUAAGAAUGUUUAGUUCUAAAACCCUAAAGAGUGGCGUCAAACUCAAACCUCCAUGUCCGGUGGCGUGCCUUGCGCCGUCACUGGACAGGAAUUUCAUCCACGCCCUACUAGGUUGGGUGUGUGGUUGGGUCCUUGACCCGUUCUGGUUUUGCGGCUUGUGUGAAGAAUGGUGAGGCUUGGCACGCUUGGAUACAUUGGUAGAGAAGGAGGUGGUUUCGUGGUAAGCCGUAUGAGGCUUUGGUUUCAUAUCUAUUCAGAAGCGGCAGUUGAUGGUGGUUGGCAUAAUUGGAGUUCGAUUUGGAUGGUUGUUGUAGGGAGCCUCCUUUCAAUAUCUGUUCUAGUCACGCUGGUGGUGAAAACGACGGCGAGAUCUCUGAUGGGCCAAGGACGAGCAAGGAGGGUGGCUGAUGGCAGUGUACUUGUUGGGCCGCAUUUGAGCUUCAAUGGGCUGCACAAAGGGCUGGGUCUGAUGCUUUUUAGGCCUAGUGUUUUUAGGAUUUUUUUAAUGUUAUUAUUGAAUUUUUAACAUGUCAUUAUUGAACCCAAGUCAAUAAGCUAGUUUGCUAGAAAAGUUUAGGUUCUUGUUUAUCUUUGUUCUUUGGUGUUUUAUCACUUGGUGAUUACAAUAGGUAGCUUUAGGUUAACCUCAUGGCUUAAUUCUUACGUGACAUCUCAAGGGUAAGUCAUGUAUUUGUAAUUUCCUCUAAAUUGAAUACAAGCACUACCAGAAGAAAGGCUUUAGCCGACGAAAAUAAAAAAACCAGGCCGACGAAUUUUUUUUUCGUCAGCUAAAGUCCACGUUAGCCGGAGAAAUUUUCCUUCGUCGGCUAAUUUAAAUUUUUGUCGGCUAAAGAAAUUUUUUUGUCGGCUAUACUAUACUUUAGCCGACAAAAUUGUUUCUUCGUCGGCCAAAGUUUUCCUUCGUCGGCCAAAGUUUUUACUCAUCGGCUAAAGUAUUUUAGUAGACGAAAAAAAAUCUCGUCGGCUAUUAUCCGUCGGCUAAAAGAAAAACAAUAAAAUGUUGUAUAACUUACUUAGUAGGUUUUAAACAAAUACACAACUUUAUGAACCAACUCUACAUAGAAGCAAAAUUAACAAAAAUCUCGUGAAAUAAGAUGUGUUCAGAAUGGUGAAAUACGGCUAUGGUUCAAAAAUCCCGUAAAUUGGGUAACGUCUCUGAUGUAGAACAGUCGAAACCCGGUAUGCUGCAAAUUUGGCGUUCAGUGUCCGAUUGACUAUUGUGAUACCUUUCCGGAAGCGUAAUGGCUCUACGAGUUAUACUCAUUGCUUUGCUUUGACAUAUGGGUCUUUUUGGCCAUCCGAGUCUGUUUAGGGCUUCAAAAUGCAGUUUUCUUAUUUCCGAUUAGAGUUGACCGUUUCGAUCGAGCCCUUAACGUUGUCCAAUCCAGUUGAAUUUCUUACCAUAGACAUCUUUCGUCAUAAUGAUCAUAUCUGACGGUCGAAUUUUGGUUUGUGAAUUUUAGUCAUCGGAAUUACAACGUGUCUACUAAUGUUAUAUAACUUCUUUGUGAACCAACUCUACAUAAAAAGCAAAAUUAUCAAAAAUCUUGUGAAAUAAGAUGUGUUCAGAAUGGUGAAAUACGGCUAUGGUUCAAAAAUCACGUAAACCGGGUAACGUCUCGGUGCCGAUAAUAGCGGUCAACCCUAUUUACCGUUAUUAAUCCCUAUGGGGAGCCCUAUCGUCGGAAGGUAAAUGUCUCAAAAUUUUUAUAUAGGCGGUUGCGUCUCAUCUACGUGAAAGUUUUUUGUAUGGAAUGUUUGACCAAACUACAUAAUAUAGAGGGAGAUAUGAGCGUUUUCGUGUGAUAAGUGACGAUGGAUUAGAGUUAACCGUUUCGAUCGAGCCCUUAACGUUGUCGGAUCCAGUUGAAUUUUUUACCAUAGACAUCUUUCGUCAUAAUGAUCAUAUCUGACGGUCGAAUUUUGGUUUGUGAAUUUUAGUCAUCGGAAUCAUAACGUGUCUACUAAUGUUGUAUAACGUGUUUAGUAGGUUAUACAACUUUGUGAACCAACUCUACAUAGAAAGCAAAAUUAUCAAAAAUCUCGUAAAAUAAAAUGUGUUCAGAAUGGUGAAAUACGGCUAUGUUUCAAAAAUCACGUAAAUCGGGUAACGUCUCGGUGCCGAUAAUAGCGGUCAACCCUAUUUACCAUUAUUAUUCCCUAUGGGGAGCCUUAUCGUCGGAAGGUAAAUGUCUCAAAAUUUUUAUAUAGGCGGUUGCGUCUCAUCUACGUGAAAGUUUUUUGUGUGGAAGGUUUGACCAAACUACGUAAUAUAGAGUAUAGAGGGAGAUAUGUGUUGUGAUAUCGGUCAAUUAUGUAUGUCAAGGAACCCCAAAAGAACACAACAAACCAAGAGAAACAACCAUAGAGAUAAGACACAAAGAACACAGAUUUAAGGUGGUUCAGCAAAACCUUUGCCUACAUCCACCGGCAGAAAACACUUCCACUAUAUUAAUAAUGGGUACACCAAAAAGAAUAAGAAAACAAGGACUCUCUCACUUCUCUUCAUAUAUCUCUCUCCUCUCUGCCCUCUCUCACCCUCUAACCGAUAGGAGUUUUACCGGAGGUGGAUGGUAAGAAGUCAGAAAAUCAGAAAAAGUUACUGUUUCGCCUGCCGGAUUUUCUUCUUGGCCUAGCUCCGCUGUGAAGCCACCGGAGACCGCCACACUUGUCUCAAAAGCUUCGCCGUCAUCUCUACUUCAUUGCUGGACAGGUGGUGCAUCGAGUGGCGUCGCCAUGAGGGAUAAAUCGAGCUCCAAAACUCCGCCGGUUCGGAUUCGGUGUCGAUCGAAUUAAGCUAACAGGCCGCGAAACUUUUUCGUCGGCUAAAAUGUUUGUCCUGGUAGUGAAGGUCGUUCGUCCUUCCCAAAAAAAAAUGUUUAGUUAUAUUAUUAUCAAAGAAUUGUAGUUGGGAAGCAUGUAGCAUGCGCAUGCCUAAUAGACAGAGUACGUACCCCACGCAAUAGGUACAUGAAGAAAUUCUCACAUGCGACGGUCGUACCACAUCACAAAUGCAAAUAAUCAUAGAGUAACACGCGUCCUUGUUUUCUUUUUUAUUUUUUUUAUUUUUUAUUUUUUUUAUACCUCAGCUCUACUGAAAAGAGAGGACAAAACAAAUCAGAAUCUCUCUGAUCAAAACCCAGGUUCUCUCAAUCUCUUCUUCAACCUCAAUCUCUUUGUCAUAUGGCUCUCAAGGAGAUGAACGGUAAGGAAUUUCAGACCAAACCCUUCCCUGGCCUUGGGCCAAGAUGAGCAGGCCCAGGUCUAGGGCCUCCAAUUUAAGAAGGCCUCAAUAUAUAUUAUAUGGUGUAAAUAUGUGACAUGGGGAUAGAUUUGGUCUAGUGGUAAGUAGUACUGUAAACAUGUCCCCCAGUACCCGGGUUCAAAUCAUGCAGGCUAAGUUCUUUUUUUCAUUUUUAGUUUCUUAGGUUUUUUUGUCUUUCAUAUAUUUUUACAUUUUCAUUAAUUGUAGACUUUUAUUUACUAUUUCGUACCUUUUGCACUUUAAUUUUUUUGGGUGUUUAACUAAUUUCAGUAUUAUUUGACACCCUAUUUCUUUCUUAGAUUUUAUCUUUUUAGCACCUUAAAUUUAUAAGAUUUAUUUUAUACAUUUUGAUUAUAUCCUUUACCGUAACGUAGUUCAUCAAGCUAUUUUUCUUUAGCAUCAAGUAAUAACUAUUUUCAUAUCAUUUAAUAUAUAUAUAUAUAUAUAAUAUGAUCGAGUUAGUGAAAAUGGUCCUUAUAUAUUAUGUUGAUUUUUUUGCCGAACAUAUAUUAUGGGGCCUCAAAAAAAAAUUCACUUAUAGCCUCCGGACACACAGGGCCGGCCUUGCCUGGCCGAUUUGAUUCUUAAUCAAAACUCUUCUUGAUUGCUCACCUGACUUGUAAGGAGUUUCGAGUGAUUUCAACGGUAAGGAAUUUCAGACCAAAUUUUAUUUGUUUGAAUUGGGUUUAUCAAAUGGAAAGAUUAAGAUGGAGGAUGGGAAAAUGGGAGAACCUAGGUUGGAUACUUGGUUUGAUCGGAGAAAUCCCAAUAUGUUUUUUUUUUCUCUUUUCAGAAGAGUUGUCUGAGGUGAGGUGUAAAAAAAAACAGGAUGCAUGGCAGUCUAUAAUUUGAUGGUCGCAUUAAUUUGUGAUGUGGUAGGAUGGUCGCAUGUAAGAAUUUAUGUAGGUACAUGACUCCAUCAACGUACCCAUGCAUGCUUUCACUUUAAUUAGGUUUCAUGAGUUUCAUCACAAUAUCAAUAAUUAAUUAAGUUUAUCUUAAUCUUUCCGACCUAGCUAGUGUAUAAUAUACCUUCUUGCAUUACAGAUGUAAGAUAUUCACCGACGCUUAAUAUUUUAACAAAGUCCAAUACAUAUUGUUUCUGCUGGUAUCGACUUGUCACCACAUGAGACGUACGUUUAGUUUGGACACUAAAACAAAUCGUUCAUAAGAGAAUAAGAUGUAGAACAAACAUAUUGUUCUAUUUAAUUGAGUGCGCGAAAGUGAAGACUGUAACUAAAUUAUUGAUAUUAGUUCAGUUCGAUUCGAUCUCACACAACCGAUGCUUACUAUUCCAAAGACUGUUAGAAGAGGCGUGAUCGAUUAAAGAAGAUGUGUCAUUUUAACUUGGGUACUUUAUCUUGGAAUGAAAAAGUACGUGGAAGAAGAGAAUCUGAUAUAGAGCUAGCUUAUAUCUAACAAGUAAUUUGAGAAGCUGAUUUUGACUGCAUAAUUUUCAGAGUCGAUAUGAAGCGUUGAAUGAUGUAUGCAUGGUUUAAUGAGUUUGAUGGUACUGAUAUAUGCGUCUCUUGAUCUCUCAUUCCAUAAAUUCGUUGUUCCUGAUACUAAAUCAUUUAAGGCAGACACUCCCCCCUUCGGCCCUUCCAGUGAUCGAGUUUCAGAAACUAAAAAUAAAAGUAAAAAGUUGAAAGAGGCGACAUUUGUAAUCUAACAUCCCAAGAUAGCUUGUUAGAGAACGACAAUGAGCUUCUAUGCAGGCUUUUAAUUUCACUAAUUAUAGGAGGCUGAUGGAUUGUCAUCAAUUAAGCUCUGCAUGCAUGGAAACUAUUACAAAGAAAACUUGGCCAUACGGCACACCAAUCAAAAUGCUAGCACCACUAAAGUACGUUAGAGCCGUAGAAAAUUAAAGGUGAACAUCACACGGUUUUACACUUUAGUAUAUUUUAGAUAAAUACCAUUUUGCUUACCGAUGAAAUCAAUCAAUCAAAUUGUAACCAGAGAAAACCAUGUAGUUCAUAUACUGUUUUCUUGAACCAGGUGAACUUAUUGGUAAUUAUUGGUAGUUCAGUUAUUUUUUGAAAGCUAUUCAAUUUGAACUUUGAAGUUAGAAUUAUCCUUACUAUAAUAUCAUCAGCAGGAAAGUAGUUGGUAAAUUAAUUAACCGGCCAGCUGGGUUAAUUAGUAGUAGCAGUACGGAUCGAAGCAGCUGAUCGAAGAUAACUUGGAGCUAGAGAUUAUCGAUCAGUUCCGUUCCAAAAUGGUAAAGGAAAUAAAAAGGAAUCAGAUUUGGGUUUUGGCACUAAAGUCUACAGCAAUCUAGUUAGGAGAGACUAGCUAGAGAAUCCAGAACAGAUCGAACAAACACUGCACAAGUGUUGAUGAUGAAGAAGGUACAGCGAUCGAUGGAGUUUGAUAUAGGAGAGACUAGCACUCUAGCAAGUAUGUGUCGGCAGACAGUCUUGCCCUAUAGCCUAAAACAAAUAAUAAGCACAAAAGAAAAGAGAGCGAUGAGAGUCUUAGAGAUCCGAUCGUAUCGAUCACGUAGUACAGAGCCAGCUAGAGAUGAUGGCCGAGCACGGUAAAAGAAGGAGCCAGAGGGAUUAAAAGCUAGCUAGGUCAUCCAGAUAGGAACGAAUAGCAGUACGAGCUGAAAUCAAGCACUGCUUUCCAGGUGGUGGCCAGUACUGCGAGGAAGACAACGUGUUGCUUAGUGAGAAGGGUUUGCCUCACUGUUGGGUCACUUGCUACUCCGAUCCUAUCAUUCAGAGUAGCAGUACUUCUCCUCCUCCUCCAUCGAUUCGAUUAUCUUUUACAGUUUACUACUACUGGAUCUCCUCCACUGAAAGAGAAUGGAAAGAAACAAAACAAAAUAGGCUAGAAUUCGCGAAUCUAGAGAGCACCAACGAUGUUGACCGGGAGGGAAAGGAGCAAUUAAAGCCUUUCAUCUCAAUCAAAUGACCGAAAUGGAGACUCUAUUCUUGUUGGCAAAUGCAAAUACGAAUCCACUGAUUUCCAUCCCCAUGUUCUCUGAGCAAUGACCUUUGUUUCCAACAGUAAUGGAGAUUUGUUGCAAACUGUCUCCGAAUCCCGUGCUUUUCAAGUAAGCACCAACUCCUGUGAUGUGUAUUCCCCUCCAGAGUCUGUCCUCAAACAUGGCUUUCUUUGCCUUGACUUUAUAAGUUUCAUUCUCCACUAAGCUUCUGAACUCUAAUAGCCCGAGUUCCAAACCUAUCUCACUAAUAAUAUAAUAAUAAAGGGCGGGUUUCAGUCUUGAAGUCUGUCUUCUUCAAUGGAUAAGAUUCAAAGGGAGUUUACUUGCUUACUUGUUAGAGUAAGGGAGUUUCACUUACUCGACUGUUAGGGAGAGGGAGUUUUACUUUUUUCCAACGGUCCGAAAUCUUUCAAAAAUUCAUAGAUUCCUGCUGCUUAGUGCCGUACGUAGAUUCGUUGUAAGCCGGCGCCAUAGCCCAGUUGGGGACAGGUGGCCUCUCUGUAUCUGACUUUUCUGACAUGCCUUCAAGCAGGCUUCAAUGUUAAUCUGCCGCGUGUGCUACGUGCUACUGGUCAGUGUUACCCCGACCCUCUCUGGAUUUGUUUUGGCACGGUGAUCUUCGAUAUUGUUCAUCUACUACUAGCUAGGGUUAGGGUAAAGCCAAUUUCAAUGUUUCAUCAUUUUGCAUGUGUAGGUUACUUUCGAGGGUUUGUUAUUUGUUUCUUUGUAGUGAUUCUAGGUUAGAUUGAACUUCCUAACGUACUAUUCAACCAUUUAGUUAUGGUUGUAAUUUGACAGUCAAUUUGAUUAAUUUGUUAGCUUGCAUUUCAUGGAUGAAACUAUGAAUGAUGAUAUGUACGUUUAGUGAACUACAAUAUUAGAUCCUAAUGUUAUGUAAUAAUUAAUAGUAUAGCUACAUCGAUCAUUUAUUGAAACAAUACUCUCAUAGGGUGGUUUCUAAACAAGGCCUUGCCGUAUUAUUGAUCGAAGUACAAAAUCAUUUGGACAAUGAUGAAUUCUCCUCGUAUGGUGUUACGGCAUUACGUUGAGUCGAGGAGGAUUUAUUUGAAGUAGGUCGAGUUCUGAAGGCUUGUAGAUCGAGCUUUCAUGCAAGCUUUUUAAUCUAUUCAAAUUCGACAUACAUUAAUGUUGCGGACAAACUAACACACCUAGCGAGUGUUGGAGUUAUUGAUUGAUACAUGGUUAGAGCAGACUUCUGCAGUUAGAUGAACUUGUCGAGUAUAAUGACAAAUGUUUCUCAGUUUAGAGGACCUAGAAGAAGUUUUACGAAACAAUUGGUCUCCAACAUGUUAAGAUUUGUUAUUUAAGCUUAGCGACAAUGAGAUGUUUUUUUAUCUCAAUUUUUUUUGUGUAUCAAGCUUUGAGACGGUAUGCAAGAGGGCUAACUAGGAUGCUCGAGCAAAGAUUUAUGAAAACCAAAAGUCUAAUAACCUUUUGCUUUCGUGUUUUAUUUAUUAAUUUUUUGACAUAAUUGUCAAUUUGUUACGCUAACUUUCACCUUUGUGUCAAUUUGCUAGCCUAGUUUUCAUAAUUGCCAACAUCAGUGUGGUGGUUUUGUUAGGACAAAAACUUGCAUUGUCAACCCCAUGAUUGUCGAUGAAUGAAAUUUCCUCUUCUAAACAAGUAAAAUAGCUAGCUAAAUCUCUUGAAAAUUUGAAGUCGCUAUGAUUUACACCCUUGAAACUCGAUCAAUACAAAUUAAUCAGCAAAGAUCACAGCCUUACAGCAGGUCUUUAUAGCCAGAAGGAAAAACUUUACAAACAUGUAAUGAGAUAUUAAUUGAUCUAAUUAAGAAUUCAUUAAUUAAUUGCCUUAAUUAUUGAU